CAGAAUAACUCCGCAAUACAUGAUUUGAGACAUUAAUUUCUGGACCAAAAAAAUACACCCUACAUGGUGUUAUUUGCACCCUAUGUACAUAAACCAAGCCAGCAUCUAACGAUAUUGAAGACAGUUUUGUAGAAUGCCGGGAGGUGAGAUAUUUCUUGUGUUGCUCAAUCAACCACUGUGAAGGCUCAUAACAACAUUCUUUCAAAUGGAACAGCUUGUCCAAGGCAUCUAGGAUUAUGUCCAUGUCCAUCCUCCGUGGAUCAACCAUUCGAUAAAAGGACAAAUCAAGAGAAGGUCCAGCUAGACAGCCAUUCUGAACUAACAAAUUUAUCUUAAAGAUGAUCUCAUAAGGCAAGUCAACUCCUCUGGGAGGGCCUACGAUUGGAACUAGAUCCGCACUGCAGGAGAAAGGCGAACCAUUUUCCAUAGAAAGUGUUCCAUCGGUUUCCUUAUAAUUGACAAAGUUCUCAUGAAAAUUUGGAAGUGGAUAUUCACAAGGAAUUUCUAAACAUACAGCAGAAGACUGUCCAAUGCAAGCUGAGGGAGUAAAAUCAAUCGCUCUCACCCACUGGUCAUCAGAGCCAUCUUUGAAAAAGUUGUAGAAAUGACUGACCAAAACAUCCUCUGAAUACUGAACAACUUUUUUACGAAUAUAGGGAGCCCCAUACAGCUAACAUCCACAAGAACAAAAUUUAUAGAAAUAUAUUAGGUCCUCUAUCAUAAGCAGCAUAUUAUGCAAAAAAGCAUGCGUGGUUGAAUGGGAAGUGCAAGCAUAAGAAAAUAGAUAAAGGACUGGGUUUCUUUUGUGUCAGUGAAAGUAAAGGUUUGGGGAGUGAAGCCAAAGCCCAGAAGCUGGCCCCUUAUAAAGGAAAAUUCAUGAUGGCCAUCAAUAUAUUUGCCUCCAUGGAAGAUUUGCCACUAUGCCAAAAGUGUAAAAUUCUAAACCUUUUAGGCUCUAAAACAUUCAAAAGUUCCAAAUUAGCCAGAAGCAAGAAUAUGAUCAGCAGAUAUGAACUCUUAUCUCUAUCACUGAAAGGAACUUGUGUACCCUGCUUAGCCUCCUACUUAACCAACCUUGCCAUGACCCAGAACCUCAUUAAAUUCAAUUAACAAUACAUGAAUCAAACAAGAGUCUUCAUCUAACAUUAACAUGUAGCCUAAGAAGAUUGGAAUUAUUUAACCUAAAAAAUCACACGAUUCCUAAAAUCAAGAAACAACAACCUCAUGAAAAAUUAUAAUCAUAAACCUCCAAGCCUUAUCCUUUAAGACUGUUUACAAAAUUCUAUCAUGUCUUGCUGUGAUACUGUGCCUUAGUGAGUUUUCAAAUACUGAGUUUCAGUUAGGAAAUUAUCAACCACGGAAAAUGGCAUUGAAGUCAUAACCUUUCAAUUGUUGCAAUCAAGUCUUCCUAGCCAUAACUCAAUUUGAGUUCUCUUGUCUAGCAGUUCUCUUGUCUGGCAGCCUGUCUCAAGCUACCGCGUCUGCAUUUCAGGAAGAACGUAAUUGGAUAAUUUUUCAAAAAGUCCAAAAUUUCACCGCACAUAUUUACAAGUGCAGAACUUGCUUCAUUGUAUACUCAAGUUUUACAACUUCUAAUACACCUUUCCCUAUCAAUCAAAUAGCAUGCAACCUAAGUACAAGGUAGCCCCUAACGUGAUCUCCAAUAGGUGUAUCACCAGUGGUCCCUGCAGAACUUGCUUCAUCCCUCUACUUUCUUUCUCCCAAUUCAUAUGCAUCCCUUUAUCUAAAAAGUUCCACAUUACUCCCUCUGUUAUGUGUUUCUCUUGUUUGCAUAAAUAAUCGAAUUACUAAGUUGGACGUCAAAGCACGCAUGCUGUCUUAUGAUUCACGGAAUUUUUUUAUGUGGUGCCAUAAAAAUUGAAAAAAAAAAAAAAAAAAACAAACAAACAAAAAAGAGAGAGACAGUGGCACGGACUCAUGGCCAUGGCCACUUGAUCCGGAGCAUGCAACCAUGGCGCUUGAGCUCGUGGCCUCCAUGGCCACUAGAUUUGGACUUCCCCAAACCUUGAGCUCACAGCCAUGGCCACCAGUUCUGGAGCUUGCCUUGGCCGCUCGAGCUGGAGCUUGAGCUCGAGCGUGGGGCUGCUAUGGCUACCAGAUCUGGAGCUCACCAAAACUUGAGCUCGCAGCCACCAUGGCUGCUCGUGCACAAGGUUUAUUUUUUCCAUAUCUGGGAUUUGAGGGGGGUAGUAGAUGGUGACCACUUAGUAAUCGGUGUGUCAGCAGAACAUGUCCUUGAUUCCAACUAAAUCCGUGUGCUUCCUACAAUGAAAGUUUCAACCAUAUCUUUCCUAAAGAGCCCUCUUCCACAAUCUCUCUCUUAAUUUACAAAGUUGUUUUUGUCUAAGUCUCCCUUCAACAUCCAAUUUUUAAGAAAUUCCUUGCAGAUUGUAGAUACUGGAGAACUCAUCCUUCACUCCCACAAACUCACUACCUUGACCCAUUGUCGCAACCUAGCUCAAUGACCCUUGGGUCCCAAGACGAGUGGCUGUAACAGAAUUUUCCUCGUCCAGCCAGAGCCAAUCAAUAAUGUUUGGAGUUCUGCCAGCCAUUUCUCUGUAAAGAUAAGGUCUUGGCAAGCUAUCUAUGUUCAUGAGACAUUUGAUCCAGGCAGAAAUACCAUGAAGGUUAAACAGGGACAAAAAACAAAAAAACAAAAAACAAAAAACAAAACAUCUUCUAAAUGAGUUACAUCAAGUCAUCAACUGGGAGCUUGAAUAACCCCAUUUAGUGAGCUAAAAAUCAAAUCCCAACACUAUGGGGAAGAAUGUAGUACGAAGAAUUUUAACAUUCAUUGGAAUUAGAAGAUCACACCCAAAACGAUGUCCAGUCAAAUAUAAAAACCAAAUAUGCAUUGUAGGAUAAAUCACAAUAUUAACACAAAAUAGUAAAUCAGUCUCUUGUAAUCCGAAUGAAGUCCAAUCACCUGAAUCACAAGAUACAUUGUUUUAUGGCCUCUUGCACGAUGUAGCUCGAUCUGCCAAAUAUUUUCAUAGGAUAACUCGAGCUUAUACUCCGUAUUGUGAUAAGAUAGAAGGAAGCAGAAUUUUCUCAUCCCAAGCCCAAAAUUUAGGGAGACGUUCACCCCUUUCCACAGAGUAGAGAACCUUUUACUUGAUACCUGACAGCCAAAAUGCAAAGUGAUACCUUCCAUUGAAUGCGAAAGGGUUCUUGGCCUUUGUACAAUAUCAUGCUCAACCCUGCGAGCAGUUAGAUAAGAUCGCCCAUACCACAAAUCUUUUCGACUAGCAAGUAAAAUAAUCGACUCUGCAUAAUCAGCAUUCAUAAAUUGGACAAUCGCAUAUGAUCGAACCCCACGUUUAUCUUGUCUAACUUUGAUGGCAUAAAUAGUACCUCUGCCAGUCCUUUGCUCCAGGCAUCCCCUGACUGUAUCUACAGUCACUAAUGAAGGGAAUCCGUGUACAUUUAUAGUCUUACCCAUUUAACUGAUACAAACUUUAUAGCACUCUGUUACACCAUAUCAAGGGCAUCACCAGGAAUGACAGAAGAAUGCCAGGCUAGGGCCUUUGAAAAGCACAUGGACCAUUCAACUCCAAGCAUGAAGUUUGCCGUACUGAAAGGGGAAAAAGUUAGACAGGAAACAUGAAAAUUUCUAUAAACUGAUUGUUGCCUCAAACUACCACAAAUCAUCAUAGCGAUUGAUCAUCAAAUGAACACUUGAUUUCUCCAUCUCGAGAAAACUAUUUACAAGCAUAAUGGGCUUCAAACAGCUUUGUUCACAGUAAGCACAGGAGUGACCAGCAUCAGAAAAACAUCAAAAAGGCCUACAAUUUUAGGCAACCUAUCAACAUAUGACAGUGAUGGACUUUAUUUCCAAUUAACAAAAAUGCCUUCCCGAAAACAUCUACAUGUUGAUAAUCAUGAAUUCUUCAAUGAAGCAAAAUAAGGAAUUCAAAAUAAGAAUAUCAUUGGGACAUUCACAGCACUUCGAGUCCUUCUUAAGCCGCAAGAGAAUAGUGUGAAACUGCAACCAACUCACUAUUGUGAAUCAUGUGCACUUUUAUCAUUCAGGCAAACCUCAUUCGGAGAGAAUAUCAUUGGGACAUUCACAGCACUUCGAGUCCUUCUUAACCCACAAGAGAAUAGUGUGAAACUAGCAGAACAACUCACUAUUGUGAAAUCAAGUGCACUUUUAUCAUUCAGGUGAACCUCAUUCGGAGAGAAUGAGUAUUGGAGGAGAAUUAUUGUUGAAGGGUACCUAGCACUUUAUAUCAGCUGCCAGCAGUUGUAGCAGAAUAACUCACUAUUGUGAAAUCAAGUGCACUUUUAUCAUUCAGGCAAACCUCAUUCGGAGAGAAUGAGUAUUGGAGGAGAAUUAUUGUUGAAGGGUACUUAGCACUUUACAUCAGCUGCCAGCAAUUGCAGCAGAACCAAAUCUGUAUCUUGGCACAUAUCAAAAUGACAGAGAGAAAUCACUCAUUCGCAACUAUUGUUUCUUCAAUCUCGGAUCCAUGCUGAUAAAAGUAUCCACGAAAACCCAAGAUGUGUUGAUCCCAACUAAACUUAAGUCAAAUUUCAAGCAGCAGAAGUUCUCAGGAUGCUGUCCAAACACAUUCGUGAAUGGAACAACAGGACGUAACUGAGCUUUCCAACGAACAAAUUGCUACAGAGGUGAAACAGAAGGAAUUCCUAAACCUUUCCCAAUGGUAUAUUGACAGGCAUACAAAAGAAAUAGAUAAUUCCGCUAGGAAUGUAAAGUACCAAGAUGAAUACCUCCCACAAGCCCAUAACACUAUGUCAAAUUGCAAUUAGAUUCUCCACGAUGCUUCUUGAAAAAUUCCUUCCGAGUCAAUGUUUAUAUUUUAUAGUUGAGAAAAGGUUGCAAUUCUAACAUUCACACUCUAGAACAUAAAACGAACGAGGAAGCAGAAAUUCCAUUUUGUAGCCACAUCUAAAUAUCAUCAGAGAAAAGAUUGCAAUUCUUCUCAAAUGUCCGGAGCUUUUCUUUUCCAAUCACUUAUAUUUAGACGGGGCUACAAAAAUUCUUUCGAAGAAGUUGCACACAAAAAACACACAUCAAACAGCAAAAAUGGGUAAAAGUCCCAUCUUGGCAACGACAGGGUCACAAUUCAGCAUUUCAGCGCAAGCAGCAAAACAGGACACAUGUCUGACACAAAGAGCGCGAAUGUAGCGCACCACACGCCACUUGAGCGGCAGAACCAAUCAACACAAUAGGAAGUAAACCAUCAGCAAGCGCACGCUUGCGUUUUUUCGUCUUUUCUUUUCCCCUAUACCCAAGCACCAUCUCACUCCUGAAGCAAAUUCCCACACAAUGUAGCCUCUCCGAACCAAACACACCCCCCCCCCCAUCCCCCCCCCCCGGGAAAAAAAAAAAAAACCGUGAGAUCCACACGUGAUCGCAAACGUUCUUCACACGCCGGAGUUCCCACUCUCGAAUAUAACGUCCCAGUACAGCCAAAAAAAAAAAAAAAACACGGCGAUCGUAAAAAAUCCAAACUUUACUGACAAGAAGGAGAAGAAGAAGAAACCCAGUUACCUCUGAGAGCUCGCCGAGCAGGGAAGCAAGAAGGGUCUGUCUCUGCGGCGACACAGAGUGUAGUAGAAAAGGAAAGUGCCCAGGAGAGAAGACGGAGCAGCGUCUCCUCCGCCGACGCCCACCCAGAGUCAACCCCUCAGUCAACAACACCACACUGCACUAAAAAGUCAAUCAAUCACUCUCUCUCUCUCUCUCUCACUCACUCACGCUCAGUCGCUCCUGCUCUUCUGCAUUUGAUAUAGGGGUGGGGGAAGAGAGAGAGAGAGAGAGAGAGAGUGGAAAAGGCGACAAUUCCGUCCUUCGCGGGCCACGCUGGCUGACGAAUGAGAACGUGAGGAUCCCUCUGCAUGAAGCGGAGCGAGUUCCUUGUCAAGGAAGGAAGGUGUGUGUUUCCUCGGACGGGACCCACGCGCGGACGAAGAGAAGAAUACUGCCGUACUGCCACGUUUCGACAGGUGACUGCUUCUCCCCCCUUUUUCAAUUUUUGUCUUUCCCUUUUCCACUCCGGAGACUUACUGAAGAAAUUCUAGCCCCCCCGAAUCAAUUGGCAAAUAAAAUAAUCCUGAUUCCAUAUCUUUCACAAAAAAGUAUAUGAUUUGAAGAAUAUUUUAUGAAAAAAAUUCCAUUGAUUAGUUAUUCCGAUCAGAAGAACAAGUGAUCAGUUUUAGAAAUGUAUUUUUCAAAUUAUUCGUCAUUCAUGAAAUAAAAUGAGGCUAAGCAUUAUUUUGAUAAUCCAUGAGAUUAAUUGGAUACUGGAAAAUGAUAUUAGAAGUGUCAUGAUUUUUGUACGGCGCUCGUUUUAGUGUCAAAACAUUUUGACCGACUAUUUAAAUGUAACGUUGGUGUGAAAUCGUGCACUUUACUAUCUAUUCUCGCUAAUCGUCCCUCGUGACUUUUCAAGUUAAUUUUUUGGAACGAUCGUGGCUUUUCAAAAGAAAAAUCUAAGUCUAAGGUGGACAAUCUUCAAUUAAAAUGACAAAGAAUGAUUCGUUUUGGCCUUUUUGUUACGCAAAUUCACUCGAAACCGAAACCCUAAAUUCUACAAAGGGAUUCCUCUUCCGAGAAGCUUAAGCAGUGGAGAGAUUCAAGAUGAGAUGAGCAGUGGAGAGGAUCGAGCUUACGAGAUGACAAAGUGGGGAUCGGUCGAAUCAACUUCGUCGAGGUCCAGAUGAUGACGGGACAACGUGACACAAGGAAUGGCGCUUGAUUUGAAUGAAUCGCAAAGAACUUGCAGGUUUUUUUGGGACAUGAAUCGCGGUGUGCCUCGCCGGAAUCCUGCAAAUCGCAGACGAAUCGAAGGUUACGGAGAUGGCACGUUGGGUGCAUUGGGGAAAAUCGCCGGCAUCUUCCUAGACAUUUCUGCAGCUCCUUCUCUCCAGUUAGAUUUUUUUUUUUUUCCACUUUUUAAGCUCGACUUGAACAUCUUCUACCAAAUUCUUUUGCCAAGUUCACACUGUUAUCUUGCAAAAAAUCCCUCCCCCGAAUCCGCUCAGUCCUUUUUCUUUUCAAUUCCAGAUUGUAGUGUGUAUUUUCUUCGUCAAUUGUGCACAAACUUUAAAUGACUAAGCUCCAUUGAAGAACCAUCAUCGCUCAACCAUUGGAGAGGAAGAGGGACAAAUGGAGCAACAAAUCUCUUCCCCUUUUUUUCUUUUUUCUUUUUUUUGGUUUUUAUUUAUAGUUUUACCGAUAAGGCCAAAACAACUUUGUUUUUUCUUCAUGAUUUUUUGCUGAUUGGAUUUUCUUUGGCAAGCCAAGUCAAUUGAUUUACAGCAAAUUAACGUCAUGUCGGAUUUUCGAAUCAUACAAAUCGAGGAUGACAAUGAAGUGAUUCCUUUUUCCCAAAGUGACACUCAAGUGAUCUCUUAAAAAUUUUUGAUAUUAAGAGUGAAGUUGUAUGAAAAUUAUGAUACUUGAAUACUAGUUAAUAGAAGUGUAUAUCGGUCUAAUCCAAUCCAAGAAUCGGAUUGGAUUGGAUCGAAUCGGCUAAUUCUAAAUGGUUUCUAUGAGAAUCAGUCUAAUUCCUAGUUCUAAAAAUAUGAAAUUGGGAAUAAUUGAUUCAAUUUUGGAAUCGAGAACUAAACUGGUGUUUGGUUCCUUGUGUGAAACUAGACCGAACCAAAACGUCACGCUAGAGGUGACCCUAAAUUAAAAUUAGAGCUCUUUCUCUCUCUUUUAGACCAAAGCUUCUCACCGCUCUGAGCUGCUCACCUCUCUUUCGUGCAACCACCACCAUGGUCUCGAGCAACCACCAUCACAGCGAAGCUCCUCGUGUGGAAACCAAGGGUGAGAAAGAUGAAAGAGGUUCGUCAACGGAGAAACCCUUGGAUGCUUGAUGCGACGAGAGAGAGUAGAGGGAAAGUAUAAAGAGAGAGAUGCGGCUGUUUUAAUAAUAAAAGGAAAAGGGACAUCCAUAAAAAUAUUUCCCUAGUAGCUUGUCAAUUCCUCUGUGCACACUUUCUUAGGUAAAUGUUGAUUUGGUCCCACGAGGACUUUAAAAAAAAAAAAAGAGUAGUAAGGUACCUGUCUUUUCAAUUCUUUCGCUAAAUUAAUGAUUUAUUUAAAAAGAUUAAAGUAAAUAUAGUUGCGAACGGCUAUAUUUUACUCAGUUACUUUCUUGAGCAAAAUCAAAAAUUAAAUCAAAUCAAAACCGAAAACCUUUUUCUCAAUUCCAGAACCACUUGGUUCGGUUCCUAAUUCUAACCUUCGGAAUUGGCAGGCACAAGAUUGAUUCUCGGUUCUAGGCUAUGGAUUGAUCAAUUGAGAACCAAAUCACCCAUAUUGAUUAAAAACUCAUGAUAAUAAAAAAUUUGCAUGUUGUGUUUUCAUAAUGAGUUGGAAGCUACUUAUCCUCCGUGGAAAGUGGUCAAAACUAAUGAAUUUUGCAAUUCAAAUGUCAUGUGAGAAGAAGAAAUUUUAAGAGAAAUUAACAAUGAAUGAUACCUAAUUUGCUUCGGGCUUCAGAACCUAAGCCAGCCACUAGGAGAUUUACUAUGAAUCCACAUUGUACAGAUUUAUCAAUCUUUCGAUUGGUCAAGUGUUUCCCAAGCACUAACCUCUUACAGAGAAUUCACUUAAAAAAAUUUCAGAAAAAAUCUUAUAACUUUUUUUGUUUGCUCUAGUAUGUUCACCAAUUUGAAUUCCAUCUACUGUAUAUACAUGAUGCUUGUAUCCAAAAAAAAAAAAAAAACUUUAGGAAACUUGUUGAAACUAUUCAAAUUAGGAAACCUACAUAAACUAAGAAACCUAUUUAGAUUGGGCUCAAAUUUAAGUCAUAUUCUUAACAUAAGCUUACUAAUGUAUGGAAAACUUACUAAUCACAUGACAAGUUAAUCAGCAACAUAUUGAUAUUUUUCGAAUGAAAAGCAGUGUUAAAGGUACUCAACAACUAUAAAAAAAAAAAAAAAAUUACUAGGAACUUAUGCAUAUUAACUCUUCAAGUACAUAAAGUCACCAAUUCCUAGGAGAAAUUAUCAAAAAAGUCCCAAACUUAUUACACAUGUGUCAAUUCAAUUUUAAACAUUUCAAAUUGAUCAAUUUAGUCUAAAAUCCGUUGUAGUUGCACUAAUUUAGUCGUAAACAUUUCAAUCAUUUUGCCAAAUGAAUCAUAAAUAUUUUGAUGAUUUAUUAAUUUAGUUAUAUAAGCUAACUCUAGCUAGAGAUUGCUAACGUGAUAGUUCAGUAAACGCUAGUUAUCCUAAGCAACAUGGUAGCACUGGCAUGGAUGAUAUAUCCAACUAAGUUUUAAUAGAUACCAAAAGUAUAUUUACUUUUAAUUAGCAACGCUUUCACCAUCACUACCAAUGUGAUUGAUAUCCACUAACUCUUCCAUAAGUGACUACAACGUAUUUAUUGCACAAGUAACUUAUACUAAUGGACCCAAAAAAAAAAAAAAAAACACAAAACACAAAAGCAAAAGUGAAAAGACAUCUCAAGAGUCGAGAUAUGCUCAUUUGAUGCAAUUUCGUCGGAGGGACAUGGUAAUAUUUCCUACUUGGGCCUCUAAGGGUACGUUUGUUUGUGUUUAUGUUCAAAAAUUGUUCUAGGAAACAGAAAUUAAAAAAAAAAAAACUAUUUCUGUUCCGGGGAAUAAUUUUUAACCAGAAAAACGUGUUUGGUAAACUUAUUUCGGAAAUAAAAAAAAGAACCGAAACACGUUUGGUAAAUUUAUGUUCUUUUUUUGUUUCUUUUAAUUUUUUAAUAUUUUUAUUUUAUUUUUCCUUUUUUUCUUUCUUUUUUUUUUCUUUUUUUCUUCUUUUGGCCAGUCGCAAGCCUCAGUCAUGGCCGUUGACCGGCCGACACUCGCCGUGGUUGGGCGAGGCUCAGCCUCACCUUGGGCUGGGCGAGCUAUGUUUUAAGACCUUGAUGCAAGGAUACCUAACACUCAAUAUAGUUUUCCAUGAUUGUAGCAUUAGUGGGCCUUUUCCACAUUACCUAGCGCAUAAAAGGUGUGAAAGGAUGGCCCAGCAUCAGACUAAUGAAACCAUCCGCUUUAGAAGUUCGGAUUGGUAGCCAAACGAGUGAUNNNNNNNNNNNNNNNNNNNNNNNNNNNNNNNNNNNNNNNNNNNNNNNNNNNNNNNNNNNNNNNNNNNNNNNNNNNNNNNNNNNNNNNNNNNNNNNNNNNNCUUAGGAAACAGUUGAAUAGGAUAGAAUCCAGCAUACAGAAUCCUACCCAACUCAUCACAUCACAAGUAGACACUUUCAAAAAACCCAUUUUUAAAGCUUUUGAAUUUCCAAAAAAUCUUAGCCCGGAGUUUGCUAAAGCCAUAGAACAAAAGAAAAAACUCCUAGGGAAAUCAAAGCUAGAGCAUGCUCCUAUUAUAGACAUUCUCGCGAUUUUAUUUAAGUUAUUUACUUUCUUGUUCUUAUACAUAAUUUCCUUUUAGAUACAUCCUUCCUUGUUUUCAUACAGAUCUGUUAGUCUCUUAUACUUCCUUGUUCUCUCAUAUAGUACUCCGAUCCUAGCUCCUUUAUGGUAUCAAAGCUAGUGGGAAGGUAUAGAUAGUCUUUGUAAGAACAUACUCAUAGAUCGAGAGCCAUUCGUUGGCAUCCUUCUUGUUUCUACAGAGUGGUCCAAGCCGUAAGUCCCUGAGUGGCUGUUAGACCGUUGGUUUAGCUCUGUAACGCUUCUGAAGAAGGAACAGUUCCGAUCUUAAGUAUGAGUUUACAUAGAAGAUCUACAUCUUCCUCUAGUUCUCUAUCACAAAUGGACUCAGAUCCCAGUCCUAUACAUAGAGAAGAAGUAAGGAUAGAAGAUUUCAACAAAUCUAUAGAGAAUUGGGAAAUUCCUAAAAUAUAGCUUAAAGAAAUAUACAAACAAUCAAAAUUAAAAUUUUUCAAAAAAUCAGACUAUGUCAUAUCCACCAAAGAAAGAGAUGUUCCUCUUUCUAAUUCCUAUGAGAAAAUACAUCUUUUAAACAAAGAGUCCAUCCAAAAGCAUAAACAAAAAUACAAUUACAUUCAUAUAGGACUAGUCCAAGUAGGAGUCAAACCUCUUACAAAAGAAGGUCUUAAUACCUCUAUUCUUCUAGUUUUACGAGAUUCACGUCUCUUAAACUAUGAUGAGUCCAUACUUGGUACUGUGGAGACAAGUCUCUGCAAAGGACCUAUACAUUUUGAUUGUUACCCUAAUUUCUCUGUUUCUCUCAAAGAUAAGAAUAUUCUUAGAGCCCUCACACUCCAAAUCAAAACCCAUAAUUACAAAGUGGCAGAUGGAUCUAUUCCUUUAGCCUUUGUCUAUAGAAUUCAUUAUAAAGCCAUGUCCUCCGCUUUUGGAGAAAAUGCUUUCAAACAUAGUCCACGGGGAGAAACACUUCUUCUCCAAACUGACAUUUCUAGAGCAAAUACAACAAUUCCUAGGUUUAUUAAUUGGAACCAAGUUACUUUACCAAAAAAAUGGGAAUUAGAAAACCAAAUUCCCCAACAAGUUGUUCAAAAUACAGAUCCGACUAAUGUCAUUCAACAUCCAGAAGGAAGAGUGACCAUUAGAUUUCCUCGAAGAUCUUUCGAUUCAAGAUCUAGUCAUUCUUUUCAUAAUUCUUAUACAAGGUCCAUAGAUCUUAAUCCUAAUCUUCCUCCUAUAAUCACCAUUCCUCCAAGUACUCAUAGAAACACCCCUCUCUAGUAUGCAUAGAGAUACUCCCACACACGAUACAACACCUUUACCUCCUUCCACCAGUAGAAUUAAUCAAGAGACACCUCUUGAACCAGAAAUUAGUGGUUUAGAUAAUAGAUCAUGGAUUUUUAGGCCAGUUUAUCAACAAAACCAGCGUGAACCAGUCCUAGAAAGUACAGAUUCCCCUCAUCAUUCUCCUACUUAUUCUCAAAUGAUAGAUACCGAGCUUAAUGUUUUAGAAAAACAUUUUGAACCAAACAAGGCUUUCCUUAAUAAAGAAUUUAAUUCUGAAAACAACAGACAAAUCAGAGAAUGGUUCUUCAAAACCUUUGCUGAUAAAGCAAAAGACAUUAAACAAAAAUAUUACGACUACAUAUAUGAAUAUGAAGUCCAUAUAUUUUUCUUUGAUUGGCUAGAAGAACAAUUCCUUGAACCAAAAGAAAUAAUUGUUUUAGAUCAUCAUUAUAAGUGGAAACUUGAUAAUGGUGAAACCAUAGAAUCCAAUCAUCCUCCUCUUAGGUGAAUAAAAAUACAACAUGGAGAAAGCGAGGUUACAGCUACCCCUUUUAGGCUUCCAGAUCAAGGACACUCUCUUUAUACUCACAAAGUCAUUGAACAAAACAAUUACACUAAUCAACAUUUGGCGACCAUAGGAAAACAGUUGAAUAGGAUAGAAUCCACCAUACAGAAUCCUACCCAACUCAUCACACCACAAGUAGACACUUUCAAAAAACCCAUUUUUAAAGCUUUUGAAUUUCCAAAAAAUCUUAGCCCAGAGUUUGCUAAAGCUAUAGAACAAAAGAAAAAACUCCUAGGGAAAUCAAAGCUAGAGCCUGCUCCUAUUAUAGACACCCCUAAAUUCCAGAAUCUUAUCAUUAAAGACACUCCUGACCAACCCACUAUCAGUACAUUGACCAAACAAUCUGGUGACUCUGAUAAUGAAUCAGUCGCUGAGAUUAAUUGACUCAAUUGGAGACAACCUCAGAAACUUUAUUAUAGCAGAGCUACCCCACCUGGCAUUGUCCAAGAAGAAUCAUCACAGAAAAUACAGAAUAAAUACUCUCCCGACGCCAUUUAUGAAUGGAAUAUAGAUGGUGUUGCCGAAAGCAAUAUCAUGAAUAUUUUAAAUAACAUGGUAAUGCUUGCCAAUGCCUACAAAACCCAGCAAGAUGUUUAUGAUCAUGCUGUUGCUAAUCUUUUAGUAGUCGGAUUUAUUGGACAACUAAAAGGUUGGUGGGAUAAUUAUUUGACUGAUGAACAAAGAAUACAAAUUUUAACUGCCUAUAAAAUCGAUGACUUUGGCCAACGCAUGGAUGAUGAUCAAGGACAUCUUAUCCAAGAUGCGGUCAAUACUCUUAUCUAUUCCAUUUCACAACACUUCAUAGGAGACCCUUCCCAUAUUAGAGAUAGGAACCAAGAUCUCUUAUCCAACAUGCGUUGCAAAUCCUUAGGGAGAUUUAGAGAAUACAAGGAACUCUUCUUUCAAAGGGUUCUUAUCAGACCUGAUUGCAAUCAACCCUUUUGGAAAGAAAAAUUCUUAACAGGUUUAUCUCAAAUUAUAGGUGACCAAGUUAGAAAUAGAAUUAGAGAAGAAUACAAUGGUCAAAUACCUUAUGAUAUUCUUUCUUAUGGAGAAAUAAUCUCUUAUGUUUACAGACAAUGAACCCAAAUGUGUAAUACUAUUAAAUUACAAAGACAACUUAAGGAAGAACAAUCUCUCACCAAUAGAAGUCUAGGAGAUUUUUGUGCUCAAUACGAUCCCUCUUAUAAUGAAAAAAUAAAACCAAAAUGUAAGGGAACUUGUCCUUUUGAGAAAGAAACAAAGAAAUAUCACAACAAACCUCCACCUCGUAGAAAUAAACAAAGACACCAGAAUAACCAAAAUAGACCUCAUACUGAUAGAAAAAAUUUCAAAGACAUUAAAUGUUAUUCUUGUGGUAAAAAAUGUCAUAUUUCAAAAUACUAUAGGAUUAAUAAAAAAUUAAAUGAACUCUCUCUUGAUGACAAUACUCUUAACCAGUUAAACAACAUCUUCAUAGAAAAUGGUGAUACUUCUUCUGAUGAAUUUCUUGAGGAAGAAGGUCUUCAGAUCAAUGAAAUAGAUUCCUCUUUUGACUCUGAUUAUGAAGAUGCCUCUCCUGAAAAACAUGUUCCUGAAAUAAACAUGUUAACAAAAGAAGAAGAAUUUCUCCUUAGCACUGCUGAUAAGAUCACUGACCCAGAAGCCAAGAAAGAAUACUUAGAUAGAUUACAUUAUUCCUUAAAUAUUACCUCCAAACCCAAUACUUCCUACAAUUUAAAAGACAUUUUAAAUAGAAACAAAAAACCCCAGUCCAGCCCGUUAAUAUAAAUGACCUUCAAAAUGAAAUAAAACAACAAAAGUUAGAAAUUCAAGCCCUGAAAGCAACACAGUUAGAUAUAAAAAAAGAGAUUUCUGACAUAAAAUCUCUUGUCAUAACAAGAAAAACAAAAUUAGAAAACCAAAACGAAAUCACCAAUACAUCAGACAAUCCGGACCCAGCCUUCCUUAUGUUAUUAACAGAAAUAACAUCUAGAAAAUGGUUAAUAAAUAUUAUGAUAAAAAUCAACAAUGAGUUUAUUAUUGAAACAACAGCACUCUUUGAUACAGGAGCUGAUCUCAAUUGUAUCAAAGAAUGCCUUGUUCCAACAAUAUACUUUGAUAAAACUUCCGAAUCCUUAAAAUCAGCCUCAGGUGAUAACCUUAACAUCCAAUACAAAUUACCAAAAGCCUUAGUAAUAAAAGAUCAAAUGUCUUACAAAACAUCUUUUCUUUUAGUAAAAAAUAUGAGGCAACAAAUAAUUCUUGGAACACCUUUCAUACAAUUAAUACAACAUUUUACAGUUACUAAUGAAGGUAUUGAAACCCAUGCUCUAAAUAGAAAAAUCACCUUCAACUUUAUAACAAAACCACAGAAGAGAAGUCUAAAUAUUUUACAAGAACAUUCUAUUUCAGAAAUUAAUUGCCUUAUAAAAGACAAAGAAAAUCAGCUUGAAUUCCUAAAAAAAGAUUUAGAAUUCAAAAGAAUAGAAGAAAAUCUUAUAAAACCAAACAUCAUAGAAAAGAUAGCUUCCCUACAAAAACACAUAGAAAAGACUAUAUGCUCUACUCUACCCAAUGCCUUUUGGGAAAUAAAGAAGCAUAUCGUUGAUUUACCUUAUGAACAUGAUUUUUCUGAAAACAAAAUACCUACCAAAGCCAGCCCAACACAGAUGAAUCAAGAAGUUUUGAAAUUCUGUCAAGAAGAAAUACAAGAUCCCUUGAAUAAAAAACUCAUAAGAAAUAGCCAAUCACCUUGGAGUUGUUCUGCUUUUUAUGUCAAUAAAAAUGCUGAACUUGAAAGAGGAGUUCCCAGGUUAGUUAUUAAUUAUAAACCUCUUAAUACAACCCUUAGGUGGAUAAGAUAUCAUAUACCCAAUAAAAAAGAUUUGUUAAACAGACUUUGUAGAUUAAAAAUAUUUUCAAAAUUUGAUAUGAAGUCAGGAUUUUGGCAAAUACAGGUCAGUGAAAAGAAUAAAUACAAGACAGCCUUCACAGUCCCUUUUGGCCAAUAUGAAUGGAAUGUUAUGACAUUCGGUCUCAAAAAUGCCCCUUCAGAAUUCCAAAGGAUUAUGAAUGAGAUUUUCAAUCCUUAUUCAGAGUAUAUCAUAAUUUAUAUAGAUGAUGUUCUAGUAUUCUCUUCCAAUAUAGAACAUCAUUUCAAACAUUUAUCUACAUUCAUAAAAAUAAUCAUACAAAACGGUCUUGUAGUCUCUCCUACUAAAAUUGCACUCUUCAAAACCAAGAUUAGGUUCUUAGAUUAUUACAUUCAUUUAAGCACCAUCACUCCCAUAGAAAGAUCAAUCUCUUUUACUGAUAAAUUCCCUGAUGAAAUCAAAGACAAAACUCAAUUACAAAGGUUUUUGGGUAGUCUCAAUUAUAUUCUAGAUUUCUUUCCCAAUAUAAAUAUCAUUUGUAAACCUUUACAUCAAAGGUUAAGAAAGGAUCCUCCACUCUGGACUUCUGUCCAUACAGACAUUGUCAAACAAAUAAAAAUACAUGUGAAAGAUAUACCAUGCUUACAUCUAGCUGACGCUUCCACUUUCAAAAUAGUUGAAACAGAUGCAUCAGAAUUAGGAUAUGGUGGCAUUCUCAAACAAGUCAAAAACAACAAAGAGCAAGUUGUUCAGUUUAUAUCAAAACAUUGGAAUUUCACUCAACAAAAUUAUUCGGCAAUCAAAAAAGAAAUACUUGCUAUAGUUUUGUUUAUAUCAAAAUUCCAAGGAGAUUUAUUAAAUCAAAAAUUUCUCUUAUGAAUUGAUUGCAAAUCAGCCAAAGACAUUUUACAAAAAGAUGUUUUAAACAUUGCAUCAAAACAGAUUUUUGCCAGAUGGCAAGCCAUACUUUCAGUAUUCGAUUUUGACAUUGAAUUUAUAAAUGGUUCUUCAAAUUCAUUGCAUGAUUUUCUCACAAGAGAAUUUUUACAGGAAAUACCAAUAUGCCAAGAUCCAAAAAAGACAAAGACAAAGACAAAGGCAAAACCACUACCGAACCCUCCAAUACACCACCAAAGCUGAAAGGCUUAACAUCUGUCAAAACAUGGCUUGAAAUGACAGAAGACAACCAGUCAUUCUUACGCCAAACACCUGUGAAAAUAGAACAUAUAUCAUUUGAUCCCACGCUAGCCUUUAAACAACUAGCCGAUAUGAUACCAAAAGAAACAAUUCUGUUACUUGCCCAGUCCUUACAAAACACAGCAAAAAAGGAGACAUCCAGUGCUAUCGAGGUAAGCAACAAUCCUUCCCCACUUGCUACACAAAAGCAAGCAGAAUACAAAAGAACUUCGAAUGAGGUGGUUAUUAGGCUACAGGCAACCCCUCAAUCUCAAAAAUCAAAAUUUUUCCCCAAAACAUCAUUUCAGAAAAUAUUAACUAUGGAAGAUGGAUUCUUUGACAAAGAUCCAAUCUUAUUUGCCAAAAACAUUUUCCCAAAAAACUGGUUAUUUAAACCACACAAUACAAAUAAAACCCUUGCUUAUUACAAGCAAAUUUUAAUGGAAACAGAAUCAGCAAGGUUUACCCACUUUGCUGACAAAAACAAUACAGAAAACAUUAUGUACUCUACUAUUUCCAUUAGUAAAGUCAUACACCCCCUUACAUUGGGGAACUUCACCUCAUACACCCAAAAAAUUCCAAACCAGGCUUACCCAAAACCUACCAUACUCCUCCUCAUAUACAUACUGGGACUACCAACAAGCUUGGUGGAACGUUUUCUUCAGACAAAAUACAAAUUUCCAACACACCUGGUUGUUAUUCUUUAAAGAUAACUUCCCAAGACAAAGCCUACCAAACUGGUUUGACUCUUGGUGGGAUCUCUUUGGUCAUUUGGACAUAAUACUACAUCCCACAGUCAAACAAGGUUACAAGGUUUUCAGUGAAUACUUCGUACCAACACCGCAUGAUAUAAGGUUCCCAUGCAUUAUGCAUGGGGAUUUGAAUACAAUACAUCCACAAAACCUAGUGUACCAGUAUUUGUCUGUAAAUACAAAACAAAAUGGUGGGAUGGAUUCAAUAGACUUGAACAAGGAUCCGAAGCUGCGGUUAAAACAUGGUUAAACAGCCAGAAAACUCAAAUAAUCACAGCCCCAUCAAAUACAUCGUUCUUACAAGAGAAAUCUAUGGCAAGUGCAUCACUUGCCGCAGUCCAAAACAGAGAGGAAUACUGCAACAUCCUCAGGACAAUGCUCUUAGAAGCGGAAGAAUCACAAUGUGGAUCUUCCAAAUCUCAAAACAGUCAAGACGAAUCCUCCCAGUCACAUCACAGUGGAGACACUAAUGAAGACGACUACUACAGGAUCAAUCUGGACAGAGAUUAAAAUCAAAGACAUCACAUGCAGACACUAUUACAAGCGGUGCAAAGGCUAUACAUUAUAGCAUAAUAGAGAUACAAUGUUCAUACAAUGUUCACUUUACACUGUUCACUCAGUACUGUUCACUUUACACUGUUCAGUACUGUAGCACUUUCACUGUAAUCCUCACUAUAAAUACACCCUCUCGACACAAGGAAAGAGGACCGAAAUUUUCUAGAUUUCUCUCUUCUUUCUCUCUCUCUCUCUCUCUCACUUGUAAACCAUCAUCCCUUCCAUCUCCAUCCUCAUCUCUUCCAUCUCCAAGCUCUCUUACCUUGUAUCCCCUGGUUUCAAAGUAAGUUAGUUUUUCAUAUACAUAGUUUUAUACAAGGUUACCAACUUACAUGAUAGUUGGUUAACCAUUUCUUGUAAUACAAACAUAAAUAUUCCCUGGAGUGCGGAUUACCGCCCUAGUGGAUGACUUGAUGCUUUAGUUUCUGCAUCCUUCAAUACAUGUAAUUUCAGCUUUUCAGCUUUAUAAUACAAGUUCAUACCACCUUCAUGGUUGGUUUUUGUUUAUGCAUACUUUUACUUUAUAUUCUAUAUAUUGCCUUUGCUCUUUACAUUAUUUUUAAUUCUCGCAAUUUUAUUUAAGUUAUUUACUUUCUUGUUCUUAUACAUCAUUUCCUUUUAGAUACAUCCUUCUUUGUUUUCAUACAGAUCUGUUAGUCUCUUAUACUUCCUUGUUCUCUAAUAUAGUACUCCGAUCCUAACCCCUUUAUUCUUUAUUCAUCAGUCAAAUAAUUAUCCCACUAACCUUUUAGUUGUCCAGUAAAUCUGGCUACUAAGGGGGUGCAUGACAACCCAAAAUUUCUGUUACAGAAAUAGUUUUUUUAUUCCAGACCUGUUUCUGGAAGAGAAAUCCGUUUGAUAAACCUAUUCAGUUUUUCUAUUUCUUGAAUAGAUUUCUCUUCCAGAAAUAGGUUUGGAAGAGAAAUCAAAAGCUAAAAUUUUAUACUUCUGAUUUCUAGAAGAGAAAUCAGAAAUAAUUUCUCUCACUAAACCCUAAUUUUGGUAAGUCCUCCCUCAUCUCCUCUACGUCUCUGCCUCCUCCUCCUCCUUCGUCUCUUCUCAUUUUAUUAAAAAUAAAAAUAAAAAUAUUAAAAUAAAUAAAUUAUUUUUAUUUAUUUUAAUAUAUUUAUUUUUAUUUUUAAAUGAAUAAAAUGAAUAUAUAUAUUUUUUAUUUUAUUUUAUUUUAUUUUAUUCAUUAUUUUUUUUGUUACUAAAUCAUUUUUAUUUUUAUUUUUUAUAUUAAAGGUCGUCGGUCGUCGUCGCCAUCGUCCGAAAGGAAAAAAUUUUGUGUCGUUAUCAAACGGUUAUUUUUGCUUAAAAACUCUUCUAGAAAUAGAAAUAGAAAAAUCUAUUUCUGUUUCAGAAACUAUUUCUGGAACAAAAUGGUUGUCAUGCGCCCCCUAAAAGAUUAGCAACAGCAUGAUCAGAAACAUCUUGCUGGGUUUUGUAGGCAUUGGCAAGCAUUACCAUAUUAUUUAAAAUAUUCAUGAUAUUGUUUUCGGCAACACCAUCUAUAUUUUUGUUUCUAUUUAAAAUGUCUUUUAAAUUGUAGGAAGUAUUGGGUUUGGAGGUAAUAUUUAAGGAAGAAUGUAAUCUAUCUAAGUAUUCUUUCUUGGCUUCUGGGUCAGUGAUCUUAUCAACAGUGCUAAGGAGAAAUUCUUCUUCUUUUGUUAACAUGUUUAUUUCAGAAACAGGUUUUUCAGGAGAGGCGUCUUCAUAAUCAAAGUCAGAAGAGGAAUAUAUUUCAUUGAUCUGAAGACCUUCUUCCUCAAGAAAUUCAUCAGAAGAAGUAUCACCAUUUUUCUAUGAAGAUGUUGUUUAACUGGUUAAGAAUAUUGUCAUUAAAAGAGAGUUCAUUUAUUUUUUUAUUAAUCCUACAGUAUUUUGAAAUAUGACAUUUUUUACCACAAGAAUAACAUUUAAUGUCUUUGGUGGUGUAUUGGAGGGUUCGGCAAUGCAUAUAUAUAUAUAUAUAUAUAUAUAUAUAUGUAUGUAUGUAUGUAUGUAUGUAUGUAUGUAUGUAUGUAUGUAUCAAAUUAUCUUUAUCUCAAUACAUGAGUUUUACAAAAUCAAAGAAAAUAUUAGUAUUAUAACAUCGUUGUCUACAAUCAAACAAUAAAAGGUACUUAUAUUGGCAAACUUGCGGCUUAAGCGCUACAUUGUACUUAUAUUGGCAAACUUGCGGCUUAAGCGUUACAUUGUACUUAUAUUGGCAAACUUGCGGCUUAAGCGUUACAUUGCAUAGUCAUAUCGACGAAAUCCCCUUUUUCUCUCCCCUUUUCUCUCUCUCUGUUCUAUCUCUCCCCCGGGAGCUCUCGGCCCCUUUUAAAACCGAGCGUGACCUGUCCCACCAGUCUUAUGAGGUCAACCUUGGCCGGCUGGCCGGGCGUGACAAAGAGCGUGUCCUAUUUUUGCUUUCCUUCUACUUUUUUUUUUUUUGGUUUGGAAUAUGCUUAGUUAACCGUACCCUCAUAUGAUUAAUCGCCAGCCACAUAUUUUGGAAGAGAGGGAGAGAAUUGUGUCUUGCUUGGAUGCUUGAGUUCUUUUAUGGAGUCCACAAAAUGUGUGGCUGGGGAUUCACCUUCCAUUUUCCAAGCUAAGGGUACGCUUAACCAAGUAUAUUUCUUUUUUGGUGGCUCGCACCGCUUUGAAAAGUCGAAUAUUACGAAGCAACCUUGAAUAGCCGGACAUGAGAUAAAGAAAUGUUGACAAGCUGUGCCAACAGUCGGAGAAUAUAUAAUGGUAAAGGCUUUAGAUGAAACGCACACAAAGAAGAGGACUUAACCAGAGCACUAGCUCAUAAAACUUAACUAGCAGAGAAAGAGAGAGAGAGAGAGAGAGAGAGAGAGAGAGGAGCAGCAGCGGCACGGAGGAGGUGGCGGUUAUGGAAUCGUACCCGAUGAACGGUGGGGAUGGCACGUUCAGCUACAACAAGAACUCUUACUUGCAGGUUCUUCAUUUGAUGUUAAGUAGAUGCACUUCCAAGCAACCAUUUCUUAAAUUUCAUGGAAUAAGAGCUAAAUGAUAGAAUUAAUUGGUCUAUCUUUCGCUAAGCUUUGCCUGAAUUCAGCUUCUGAAACUACUCUCUGGUUGUUCAUCUCUUGUGACCCCUUAUGGUUUCAACUAGACAAGUUUUUAAUCAUCAAAGUCGAACUUGCUACUCUGACACGUAUUGCAGAGAGCGUCAACCAACGUCUCCCGGGCGACAAUCGACAAGGUGAUCGCAGAGAAGCUCGACAUAAAGCAAUUUUCUCCUGCUCUGACCACAUUCCAGAUCGCGGAUUUAGGCUGUUCGAUCGGGCCAAACACCUUUCUUGCGGUCCAAAACAUCAUAGAGGCAGUCCGACGCAAGUACGAAUCACAAGGCCUCUCCUCCCAAUUGCCUGAUUUCCAAGUCCUGUUCAACGACCACGCGUCCAAUGAUUUCAACACCCUCUUCACUUCCCUGCCAUCUGACCGGCCGUACUACGCGGCUGGUGUGCCAGGAUCCUUUCAUGGGCGACUGUUCCCCAAGGCGUCCCUCCAUUUCGUGCAUUCGUCUUAUGCGCUUCAAUGGCUUUCCAAGGUGCCUAAAGAAUUGGUUGAUCCAAAUUCCCCAGCAUUUAACAGGGGGAGAGUUCACUACACAAGUGCUCCACGCGAAGUGAGCGAUGCUUAUACAUCUCAGUAUGCACAGGACAUGGUGAAAUUUCUGCACGCUAGAGGUGAGGAAAUUGCGAGUGGAGGCAUCAUGGUUCUAGUCAUGCCCGGGAUUGCUAAUGGCAUUCCUUAUUCACGUAUGCCAUCAGGCGUGAUGUUCGACCUUUUGGGAUUCAGCUUGAUGGAUAUGGCAAAGGAGGUAAAAACUGGAAACGUUGUCAGCAAAAUUUUCUUUCUUACCAAAAAUAGUUAUAUAUGUGCGCAAGUGUAUAUCAGCAUAGUUCACUUACAGGUCUCACAAAUUUAAAUUUAGCGAAAAUAUAGAUAAUCCAUAGUUCAUGUCUCAUUUGUGCAUGUCUUAAUGUGUUUAUCAUAUGCAUGUGGACCCUUUAACGGAUUUCUUAAGGCUUUCAUUCCAUCGUUAGUUCACUUAUAUUCAAAGCAAUCCCAUUGAGUUGCACAGAUGACUUGAUGAAAGUAACUCUCUACAGGGUAUAAUAAGUGAGGCUCAGGUAGAUUCAUUUAAUUUGCCUGUGUACGCUCCCUCUCCUGACGAGUUGACGGCACUAGUAGAGAGCAAUGGGUGUUUUAGCAUAGAGAGGAUGGAUUUAGCAGCUAUUGGAUCGAAGAUCGAUGACUCGUUCGGAGGGCAUGCUUGCAUGCUGCACUUAAGAGCUGGAAUGGAAGGCAUCAUCAGCAAACAUUUUGGAAGUGAGAUAAUUGACGACCUGUUUGAUCGUUAUCUCGGGAAAACCAAUGAAUUUUCCGACCGUUUAAACUCUUCAGUACGUCAAGGAAGCCAACUGGUAGCAAUACUGAAGCGCAAAUAAUGCGCACCUGGGAGUGGGGUCCGCACUUUUUUCAAAUAAAGUUCUAGAUAUCUACUUUCCUCUUCGAAUUCAUAUGUCCCAUAUAAGGCACUCGAAAUCUGAAUACGGUGAGGAUAUUUAGCAUUUGUCCUGGUAUGAUCUUUACAGUACUUGUAUUGCAAUUUUUGAUGAAGUAUCAAUGUAUUGAACUUUUUGGUACUCUGAGGCUUCGUUAAGCAAGAAGUCAUCACCUCCGCAAUGAUGUGCACCAAGAAGGUGCUUCAUCAAGAAAUAAAGUUAAGCAGCAUUACGAUGCUUGUCCUCAUACAUGGAAUAGCUUUGGCACAUAAUUCUAAUUUUUUGAUUCUAUAAGUAAUUUAAAUAUUUGAAAUUUGAUGUGUUGGGCUUCCUUUUCUACUGAGCUGGACUGCAUAACUUCUUUCAAUUUAUCCCACGAGAAAACAAGAAAGAAACUAGGCAGAUUGUCUCGUGAGACCUAGAAUCGAGCGUGUAAAUAAUUGCUUCAAUGGAAGCUGAUUUCCAGACUGCAGAUUUUGGUGCAGUGAGAUAAUGAGUCGCAAAUUUUUCUGCUCCUACUUUUUAAGAUAAUAUUGUACUUUUGGCAUCAAUAUGAUCUUUAAAUUGCUCGUAAGAAAAUCUUGUUAAUCUCCUUUGUGCUGAGGAAUGUUCCAUCCCCAUGAUAACAGCUGCCGCAAAUUUUUCCCCAUCAGCCAUGGCAAGAGCAUGAUCUAUUCUCAAAUUCCAUGACAAACCAAAUCUGAUGCAGCGUCAUCUGGCCUAGAGCCAUUAUCUGAGAUUACAGAAAUGUUAUUAUGUUCAAACCCACCAGCAUUAGGAAUCCGAGGAACCUGUGGCAUGGAAGAAUAACUAUCAUACACAGAAAUUUAUGGGGUAUGCAAAGUUUAUCGCGAUACGGAAAUUCCAAUUCAGAAAGACUAUAGACAGUGAACAGCCGUUUGACAUUACCAUUAUGUACAAAAAGAUGUAAUGCACACACAAAUAGCAGUCAGAAUGUUAUUUAAGCUUCGCUACACAAACAGCAGGAAUUUAGGAGUACCGUUGCCUACACAUUUGCAGAAGACCCAAAUACAACAACUUCGGUUUCUUCAACUGAGAAAAUAUCCAAGUUGGAUUUCUCAAUUCAGACGCAAUCGGGUGAAGUAGUCUUCAAGAGUGGACUUACGAGCACUCAUCCUACCUCGUUUUUCCUUCUUAAUUUGGAUUAGUUUAUCAUAUACACACCAAGGAAAGCUAAGAUAAUGAUCUCGUUUUAAACCCUCGUUGUAGCAACCCCAAUACUCCGGAUGAUACGUGACAUGAUACCACGCAGAUGCUUUUGCAUAUUCAUCAACGGGCUCAGAAUACGAACCACUUCCCUUAUCAUUAAACCAGGUCCGANNNNNNNNNNNNNNNNNNNNNNNNNNNNNNNNNNNNNNNNNNNNNNNNNNNNNNNNNNNNNNNNNNNNNNNNNNNNNNNNNNNNNNNNNNNNNNNNNNNNNNNGCCUCUGUGUCAUCCCAUAAUACUCCAUCAGAUUCCCCAGCUUGUAAUCAUAAUUACCCUUGUGAUAGAAAGCGUCAUCGACAUAUUCCUCAAAUCCGUCCACUUCCAUCUCUGGGUCAUAAGAUUGCCUCGCCAUUUCCAGCGUGAACUUCCGAAUAGAGCUUGAUGCAUAUGCUUCCUCUUUGACUUCCCGGAAAAGCUUUCCGAUCACGUUGUUGGAUGGGUAGCUGGACUUGUCAAGCUUCUCCAUGAAGUCUGGGUAUUCCUUGACAUACAGAUUAGGAGGUAUCACAGCAGGUACACCAGUUUUUGGGAAGUCAACCGCAAUAGAGAAAAGUCUGGCAAGGUCUAAACAUUCAGGGCACAUGGCCUUUUCAGGCUGACUAUCUGCAAAGACGGUGUGGGCAUUGGCAAUAAUUCCAAGGCUGUCAUUAAGUAUGUAAUUUACAAAGUACUCCUCCACUUCCUGUUUAAGCAACAAAAUCACAAAAGGGUUUUAAUUACCCACAUAUCCAUAGAGCAUUACAAGAGAAAUCAAGCGGCAAAUUUCCAAAUGCAACUCAUUGAUUUCGGCAAAUUGAUCAUCAAUAACCCUUCAAAAAUAAAGUGUGCUCAGAUAUACAUCUUCUCUUAAGAGUUCAAGGUAUAUAUGUGCUGGCCACUUCCAAUUUCAAUGUUCCCAAUGAUUCAAAAUAAUCCGUUCAUUUCAUUAUCAAGAAAAGGAAAUGUUCUGUAAUGCAAAAGAAUAAUGCAUAAACCAAUCUUAGUAGAUGUAUAUGCAUGGGCAAGUAUAGGCUUGCAGGUAGAUGCUUAUCCCCACGGUAUUUCCAGCAGAAUCAAUCUUAAUAAAAACAAUAAUACCAAUUCAGAGAAUGGAAGCCUCGUAACGACUGCCGCCUAAAAGAACAAGGAAUUCUCAACAGCAGUGAAGAGUGGGUACCAAAUCCAAGGUCAAGAACAUAGGCAAAGUUUUACUUAUAGAGUCACGCUGGAACAAAACUUAUUAUAAAGACCAAAAGAUUCUUUCCAGAAACCCAUGCAUCAUUAUCGUAAUGAUAACUUCCAAACCCCAAUUUAAGAAACGCAACAGUUAAAACAAGUAUACAGCUAACCCCAAAGCAUGAGCCCAAUCCUAUUCCCCCCAAUGGCAAGGAUGAGUUAUCAUAUAUGAAUCUUUAUUCUCUAGAAGAGUUUCUUCACAAGGAGGAAAUUGAAUGGACCGACCCAUGGUAUAUCUAAUUUCAGAUCAUUAAUAUUUCCCAUGAUGGCCAGCCUUCUAGAUAAGGAAAAAUACCACAGUAGUAAGGUAGUUUCACUUGGUGAUGAAAAUGAUGCUUUCCAUGAUCACACACUUUAAUUUAUCACUUCCUAUUGCCUUGAUAUUUCCUAGAUAAUAAUCAAAUUUAACAUAACAGAUUCACAACAGCUGGAAUAUAAACAAAACCCAUGCAUCAUUUCAGUAAGCCUACUUUUUCAUUCCCUCAUCUUUACUUAAAAAAUUAGCUAUGUCCCUCCACAACAGUCCCUUGAACUGCAUCCAAGCACAAUGCCUGACCAAAUACACCUCUAAGUUUGGCAAAAUAUAUGAAAUGUUGAAAUAGGGUUUCAGAACCAGUGAAAUGGCUCUGCUAGCCUUUAUAGAUACAUUUGAUGAGCGGCUCUUAAUCAUAGCUAAACCCACAUCCGAGUCGAGACAACACUACAGCCUCAAGUGCAUCAUUUUUUACCAUAAUCGCUUUUUGUUUCCCUACAAAGAUUCAUAUCACUUUGUGUGCAGUUGUGCCUGAAGUUGAGUGAGCAAAAUUUGGCAGUUAGCUUUUAGGGCAGAAGAUGAAUAGAGGCAUUGAAAAACUAGGGAAGCCUCCAAACAAGCAAAAAUUAAUGAACUACAUGUGGAGAAUUCUGAGUGCAAGUUCUUUCCAGGGACUUCUCAUAGAAUAGUCCUGGUCAAACAGCCAAUUCCAUGUUAUGUAAGGCAUAAACAGAUCUUUGACUAUAAGAAUCCUAUUGACCUAAUGGUUGAAUUAAUGAGCCCACUCAUACUCAACUGUUUGCUUCGUGACUAAUUUUGAAGCUAUCAUCUGCUUGCAGAGGGUGCAAAUUUUAGCUUCUCAGGGGUUCUUCCAGCCCAGGGAAGGAAGGAAGAGAAGCACACAAAUUUAUAAGUAAAAGGAACCAAUAAGAAACCAAAAGAAUACAGCAGGUUUGACAAGACAUUUUGCUCACAUGCCAAAUUCCUCAGCAAAGAUAAAAUUAUCCAAGUAUCAUGUCAGACAAGCCAAGUCAAGUGAAAAGAUAGAGAAUGCCAAAUGAUGGAUGCUAGAUGGAUUUCCUACUAUAACUGUAAGCUGUUCAAAACGUUUCACAGCAUCAUAAAAAGUCAUUACAAUAUAUAUAAUUCCGUGGAAAUCCUGAGAAAAAGCAUUACCUCAAUUGUGACAUCAUGAUCUAACCUCUCACUUGGGGCAGGUGUGUAAUCCAUAGGUUGUCUCUGGUGAUGCGGAAUUAAUUCUGAGUCCCAGGAGACAAAGUAGAUAUCUCCGUCCAAAUCACUCCCUGAACACUCAUUUGGAUGAGGCCUAUUUCAUUCAAGAAUCGCAUUAUGCAUUAACAAGAGAAAUUGAUAUCAUAUUUUGCUUUCUACUUUUAUCUAUUAAAAGUGUGUUUGGGACAAUUUAAAGUAGAAGAAAGUCAACCCGAAUUACUGAAAUUAUGGGGAAGGAAUUUUUCGCCUAUACUUUUAGCUAGUAGAAUUAAAGGGUAAACCUAUCAGUGUUUAUCCAGAACUAGAACUAUCAGAAGCAUAGAACAACAGCAUAGUAGAGGAUGCUUCUUAGCAAAGUCGCAUCACAUGUAGACAGAAUCUACAUACAAGCCUUGGACCGGUGAACUCAAACCUCAUACAAGAAAGAGACAAACCAGAAGCAGGAUCAACAAAAUUUCAAAUCUAGCCACCAAAUCCCACUGGAUAAAUAUUCUAGCAUUUAUUCUCAAAGCUUAAAGGUGAUAGAAAAGCAGGCCCAAAACUAUUUCUAAAGAAAAAAUGUCAAAAUUAUCCUUGGCUAUGUAAAAUGCGGAAAAAAUUAAAUUGGGUUGCACAUCAGUUCAUUUAUUUUAGACCUAGUACAAACAUAAUAUUAGAAAUUUUAGACCUUAUUACUAUAACUGAACCAAAUCAAAACAAUAGCCAAAGAUCCACAACCAAAAGCAAAAAGAAGUCCAAAAUGGAUCCAUGACAAGUGCCAGCGCAACUGAGGUAAUUGCAAGCCAAUAACAAGGCAUGUUAGAGUCAUACCUUUUUCCCUUCUGUGGAAAAACAACACAAUCCACCAUAUGAUGUAAAGCUGGCACAUCUAUGGCAGUUAGAACACGCACAUCACCUGGAUGUAAGCAAGGAUUCUUGGCAACAACUACUUUUCCCUGUACAACAAAGCUUUGAUCUGAGUCAGUACCAAUGAACACAAUUGACUCAUCCCACAUCUGUUGUUUUCUUCUACCGGAAUACUGCAGAAACACCUGGCCAUAUUCCAAACUUUGGGUUUCGUCAAGGCAUCCCAUCAUUGAUCUUCCUUCAGGAAGAAAUAUCCUCGUUUUUGUCCGCAAUUCAGACAAUUUUGUUGCUCUGAAUGUUCGCAACAUCAUCGAUAGAAAAGGCUCAGCAUCAGGCUUAUAACCACACUUUAGCAUUUCUUUGAGAAUGUUACCAUUCUCCCCCGGGGACAUUAAAUCUAGAGCCUCUUGUGCUCGUAGGGGAUCAACUAAAAUGGCAUUUAGCUGAUCUACAGCAUUUUUUUGUUUUUUCUCGAACACGUGAUCUCGAACGCCAAGUGUUGAUAGAAGAGUGAUCAAUUGGCGAUUAAGAAAGCAAGGCUGAUAUUUGCUCCAUCCCAAGACAUUUAGCUUUGUCUCUUUUGAUUUGUACUUAAACAUGCUCGUUCUGAGUGAUAGUUUAACACAUGACGUUGGAUCAACCGCUACAACACCUUUAUAUCCAGCAUAGCGAAUUUGAAACGCAGAAGGACUAUAGCCCUUCAAGCCACAUUUUCUUGCAACUUUCCGAGCGAACUCUCCAGAUAUUUUCCCAAUGCCAUCAGAAAAGACAUAAUUCAUAUCCUCAACAAGUGACUUGACUUCAAUAUCCGGAAUGAGUUCAACUUCAUCUUCACCUACAUUGAGAGUUUCGGUAGAUGAACUCAAGGAUUGGCCAAGUCUCGCGGCAUAUUUUGCCACAUUUCUUAUUGCACUGAAUUUACCCCUAUCUGCCCUAAUAGUUGCAGCAGUUGUACCAUCUGUUGGAGCAAACAUCCAAGCAGAAUUUUCGCGUAACUGACUGGAUGAGAAGGCAAGAAAUUCAAAAUGCUUAUCACCUAUUUUUAUGCCAUUCUUGAGAAUAGAAAGGAUCCUUUCAUAUAUAUCCGUUCUCCCAUGUCCCGAAGCAGUGCGAGGAGAUAAAUCAGUUGAAUACAUUUUAUCCAGGUCCUCAUCCACAAAAGAAAUACGGAUAAAAUUGUCAAUGUACUUAGAAUACCUCCGCAAUACAUGAUUUGAGACAUUAAUUUCUGGACCAAAAAAAUACACCCUGCAUGGUGUUAUUUGCACCCUAUGUACAUAAACCAAGCCAGCAUCUAAUGAUAUUGAAGACAGUUUUGUAGAAUGCCGGGAGGUGAGAUAUUUCUUGUGUUGCUCAAUCAACCACUGUGAAGGCUCAUAACAACAUUCUUUCAAAUGGAACAGCUUGUCCAAGGCAUCUAGGAUUAUGUCCAUUUCCAUGCUCCCUGGAUCAACCAUUCGAUAAAAGGACAAAUCAAGAGAAGGUCCAGCUAGACAGCCAUUCUGAACUAACAAAUUUAUCUUAAAGAUGAUCUCAUAAGGCAAGUCAACUCCUCUGGGAGGGCCUACGAUUGGAACUAGAUCCGCACUGCAGGAGAAAGGAGAACCAUUUUCCAUAGAAAGAGUUCCAUCGGUUUCCUUAUAAUUGACAAAGUUCUCUUGAAAAUUUGGAAGUUGAUAUUCACAAGGAAUUUCUAAACAUACAGCAGAAGACUGUCCAAUGCAAGCUGAGGGAGUAAAAUCAAUUGCUCUCACCCACUGGUCAUCAGAGCCAUCUUUGAAAAAGUUGUAGAGAUAACUGACCAAAACAUCCACUGAAUCCUGAACAACUUUUUUACGAAUAUAGGGAGCCCCGUACAGCUAACAUCCACAAGAACAAAAUUUAUAGAAAUAUAUUAGGUCCUCUAUCAUAAGCAGCAUAUUAUGCAGAAAAGCAUGCAUGGUUGAAUGGGAAGUGCAAGCAUAAGAAAAUAGAUAAAGGACUGGGUUUCUUUCAUGUCAGUGAAAGUGAAGGUUUGGGGGACUGAAGCCGAAGCCCCAGAAACUGGCUCCUUAUAAAGGAAAAUCCAUGAUGUCCAUCAAUAUAUUUGCCUCCAUGGAAGAUUUGCCACUAUGCCGAAAGUGUAAAAUUCUAAACCUUUUAGGCUCUAAAACAUUCAAAAGUUCCAAAUUAGCAAGAAGCGAGAAUAUGAUCAGCAGAUAUGAACUCUUAUCUCUAUCACUGAAGGGAACUUGUGUACCCUGCUUAGCCUCCUACUUAACCAACCUUGCCAUGACCCAGAACCUCAUUAAAUUCAAUUAACAAUACACGAAUCAGACAAGAGUCUUCAUCUAACACUAACAUGUAGCCCAAGAAGAUUGGAAUUAUUUAACUUAACAAAUCGCACGAUUCCUAAAAUCAAGAAACAACAACCUCAUGAAAAAUUAUAAUCAUAAACCUCCAAGCCUUAUCCUUUAAGACUGUUUACAAAAUUCUAUCAUCUCUUGUUGUGAUACUGUGCCUUAGUGAGUUUUCAAAUACUGAGUUUCAGUUAGGAAAUUAUCAACCACGGAAAAUGGCAUUGAAUGUCGUAAAUCCUGAAGUCAUAACCUCUCAACUGUUGCAAUCAAGUCUUCCUAGCCAUAACUCAAUUUGAGUUCUCUUGUCUAGCAGUUCUCUUGUCUGGCAGCCUGUCUCAAGCUACCGCGUCUGCAUUUCAGGAAGAACGUAAUUGGAUAAUUUUUCAAAAAGUCCAAAAUUUGAUCGCACAUAUUUACAAGUGCAGAACUUGCUUCAUUGUAUACUCAAGUUUUACGACUUCUAAUACACUUUUCCCUAUCAAUCAAAUAGCAUGCAACCUAAGUACAAGGCCCCUAACGUGAUCUCCAAUAGGUGUAUCACCAGUGGUCCCUGCAGAACUUGCUUCAUCCCUCUACUUUCUUUCUCCCGAUUCAUAUGCAUCCCUUUAUUUAAAAAGUUCCACAUUACUCCCUCUGUUAUGUGUUUUCUCUUGUUUGCAUAAAUAAUCGAAUUACUAAGUUGGACGUCAAAGCACACAUGCUGUCUUAUGAUUCACGGAAUUUUUAUAUGUGGCGCCAAAAAGGAACCGCAUCAGACAACAUAAAAAUCGAAAAAACAAAAAAAAACAAAAAAGAGAGAGACAGGAGUAGGACUCGUGGCCAUGGCCACUUGAUCCGGAGCAUGCAACAAUGGCGCUCGAGCUUGUGGCCUCCAUGGCCACUAGAUUUGGAGUUCCCCAAACCUUGAGCUCGCAGCCAUGGCCACCAGUUCUCGAGCUUGCCUUGGCCGCUCGAGCUCCAGCUCCAGCUUGCGGCUGCUAUGGCUACCAGAUCUGGAGCUCACCAAACCUUGAGCUCGCAGCCACCAUGGCUGCUCGUGCACCAGGUUUAUUUUUUCCAUAUCUGGGAUUUGAGGGGGGUAGUAAAUGGUGACCACUUAGUAAUUAGUGUGUCAGCAGAACACGUCCUUGAUUUUAAACUAAAUCCGUGUGCUUCCUACAGUGAAAGUUUCAACCAUAUCUUUUCUAAAGAGCCCUCUUCCACAAUCUCUCUCUUAAUUUACAAAGUUGUUUUUGUCUAAGUCUCCCUUCAACAUCCAUUAUACUGGUCCAAUUUUUAAGAAAUUCCUUGCGGAUUGUAGAUACUGGAGAACUCAUCCUUCACUUCCACAAACUCACUACCUUGACCCAUUGUCGCAACCUAGCUCAAUGACCCUUGGGUCCCAAGACGAGUGGCUGUACCAGAAUUUUCCUCGUCCAGCCAAAGCCGACCAAUAAUGUUUGGAGUUCUGCCAGCCAUUUCUCUGUUAGGAUAAGGUCUUGGCAAGCUGUCUAUGUUCAUGACACAUUUGAUCCAGGCAGAAAUACCAUGAAGGUUAAACAGGGGGAAAAAUAAAAACAAAACAUCUUCUCAAUGUGUUACAUCAAGUCAUCAACUGGGAGCUUGAAUAACACCAUUUAGUGAGCUAAAAAUCAAAUCCCGACACUAUGGGGAAGAAUGCAGUACGAAGAAUUUUAACGUUCAUUGGAAUUAGAAGAUCACAGCCAAAAUGAUGUCCAGUCAAAUAUAAAAACCAAACAUGCAUUGUAGGAUAAAUCACAAUAUUAGCGCAAAAUAGUAAAUCAGUCUCUUGUAAUCUGAACGAAGUCCACUCACCUGAAUCACAAGAUACAUUGUUUUAUGGCCUCUUGCACGAUGUAGCUCGAUCUGCCAAAUAUUUUCAUAGGAUAACUUGAGCUUAUACUCCGUAUUGUGAUAAGAUAAAAGGAAGCAGAAUUUUCUCAUCCCAAGCCCAAAAUUUAGGGAGACAUUCACCCCUUUCCACAGAGUAGAGAACCUUUUACUUGAUACCUGACAGCCAAAAUGCAAAGUGAUACCUUCCAUUGAAUGCAAAAGGGUUCUUGGCCUUUGUACAAUAUCAUGCUCAACCCUGCGAGCAGUUAGAUAAGAUCGCCCAUACCACAAAUCUUUUCGACUAGCAAGUAAAAUAAUCAACUCUGCAUGUUCAGCGUUCAUAAAUUGGACAAUCGCAUAUGAUCGAACCCCACGUUUAUCCUGUCUAACUUUGAUGGCAUAAAUAGUACCUCUGCCAGUCCUUUGCUCCAGGCAUCCCCUGACUGUAUCUACAGUCACUAAUGAAGGGAAUCCGUGUACAUUUAUAGUCUUACCCAUUUAACUGAUGCAAACUUUAUAGCACUCUGUUACACCAUAUCAAGGGCAUCACCAGGAAUGACAGAAGAAUGCCAGCCUAGGGCCUUUGAAAAGCACAUGGACCAUUCAACUCCAAGCAUGAAGUUUGCCGUACUGAAAGGGGAAAAAAUUAGACAGGAAACAUGAAAAUUUCUAUAAACUGAUCGUUGCCUCAAACUACCACAAAUCAUCAUAGCGAUUGAUCAUCAAAUGAACACUUGAUUUCUCCAUCUCGAGAAAACUAUUUACAAGCAUAAUGGGCUUCAAACAGCUUUGUUCACAGUAAGCACAAGAGCGGCCAGCAUCAGAAAAACAUCAAAACGGCCUGUAAUUUUAGGCAACCAUAUCAACAUAUGACAGUGAUGGACUUUAUUUCCAAUUAACAAAAAUGCCUUCCCGAAAAGAUCUACAUGUUGAUAAUCAUGAAUUCUUCAACGAAGCAAAAUAAGGAAUUCAAAAUAAGAAUAUCAUUGGGACAUUCACAGCACUUCGAGUCCUUCUUAACCCCACAAGAGGAUAGUGCGAAACUGCAACCAACUCACUAUUGUGAAAUCAUGUGCAAUUUUAUCAUUCAGGCAAACCUCAUUCGGAGAGAAUGAGUAUUGGAGGAGAAUUAUUGUUGAAGGGUACCUAGCACUUCAUAUCAGCUGCCAACAGUUGUAGCAGAACAACUCACAAUUGCGAAAUCAUAUGCACUUUUAUCAUUCAGGCAAACCUCAUUCGAAGAGAAUGAAUAUUGGAGGAGAAUUAUUGUUGAAGGGUAAUUAGCACUUUAUGUCAGCUGCCAGCAAUUGCAGCAGAACCAAAUCUGUAUCUUGGCACAAAUCAAAAUGACAGAAAGAAAUCACUUGUUCGCAACUAUUGUUUCUUCAAUCUCGGAUCCAUGCUGAUAAAAGUAUCCACGAAAACCCAAGGUGUGUUGAUCCCAACUAAACUUAAGUCAAAUUUCAAGCAGCAGAAGUUCUCAGGAUGCUGUCCAAAAACGUUCGUGAAUGGAACAACAGGACGUAACUGAGCUUUCCAACAAACAAAUUGCUACAGAGGUGAAACAGAAGGAAUUCCUAAACCUUUCCCCAUGGUAUUUUAACAGGCAUACAAAAGAAAUAGAUAAUUCUGCUAGGAAUGUAAAGUACCAAGAUGAAUACCUCCCACAAGUCCAUAACACUAUGUCAAAUUGCAAUUAGAUUCUCCACGAUGCUUCUUGAAAAAUUCCUCCCGAGUCAAUGCUUAUAUUUUAUAGUUGAGAAAAGGUUGCAAUUCUAACAUUCACACUCUAGAACAUAAAACGAACAAGGAAGCAGAAAUUCCCUUUUGCAGCCACAUCUAUAUAUCAUCGGAAAAAAUGUCGUAAUUCUUCUCAAAUGUCCGGAGCUUUUCUUUUCCAAUCACUUGACUUCUCUAAUGAUAUUUAGACGGGGCUACAAAAAUUCUUUCGAAGAAGUUGCACACAAAACACACAUCAAACAGCCAAAAACGGUAAAAGUCCCAUCUUGGCAACGACAGGGUCACAAUUCAGCAUUUCAGCGCAAGCAGCAAAAGAGGACACAUGUCGACACGAAGAGCGCGAAUGUAGCGCGCCACACGCCACGGCAGAACCAAUCAACACAAUAGGAAGUAAACCAUCAGCAAGCACACGCUUGCGUUUUUUCGUCUUUUCUUUUCCCCUAUACCCAAGCAUCAUCUCACUCCUGAAGCAAAUUCCCACACAAUGUAGCCUCUCCGAACCAAACACCCCCCCACCCCCAAAAAAAAAAACCGAAAAAAAAAACCAUGAGAUCCACACGUGAUCGCAAACGUUCUUCACACGCCGGAGUUCCCACUCUUGAAUAUAAUGUCCCAGUACAGCCAAAACAAAGAAACACGGCGAUCAUCAAAAAUCCAAACUUUACUGACAAGAAGGAGAAGAAGAAGAAACCCAGUUACCUCUGAGAGCUCGCCGAGCAGGGAAGCAAGAAGGGUCUGUCUCUGCGGCGACACAGAGUGUAGUAGAAAAGGAAAGUGCCCAGGAAAGAAGACGGAGCAGCGUCUCCUCCGCCGACGUCCACCCCGAGUCAACCCCUCAGUCAACAACACCACACUGCACUAAAAAGUCAAUCAAUCACUCUCUCUCUCUCUCUCUCACUCACGCUCAGUUGCUCCUGCUCUUCUGCAUUUGAUAUAGGGGUGGGCGAAGAGAGAGAGAGAAGGGGAAGGAAGUGGAAAGGCGACAAUCCCGUCCUGGCUGAGGAACGAGAACGUGAGGGUCCCUCUGCAUUAAGCGGAGCGAGUACCUUGUUAAGGAAGGUGUUUCCUCGGACGGGACCCACACGCGCACGAAGAGAAGAAUAUUGCCGUACUGCCACGUUUCGACAGGUGACUGCUUCUCCUCCCUUUUUCAAUUUUUCUCUUUCCCUUUUCCACUCCCAGGUGCGUUUGGUAACUAUUCUAAUACCAGGAAAUGAUUCUGAUUAGAAAUUAUUAUUUUUUAUUCUGUUUCGAAAACUAAUUUUAAGUAAAAAAUUACGUUUAAUAACUGUCUAAAAUUUUUUAUUCUGUAAUAGAAUUGUGUUUGAUACAGUGCUAAUUAAUUAUGUUCCAAAUUAAUUUUUUUUAAUUUUUAAAUAAUUUUUUUCCUUUUUUUCUUUUCUUUCUUCCUUUUUUUUUUCUUUUUUUUUCUUUUUUUUCCUUUUUAUUAUUCUUCUUCUUCAUGUGGCCGGUCGUCGGUCCGGCAAUCGGCCCUCAACAAGGUCGACCCUUGUUGGCCGAGCCUCGCCGAUGGCCAGGCGAGCCUCGGCAACGCUGGGCAAGGCCCGCCUGGCCACCGGCGAGCCUCGGCCUUGCUCGAUCUGGCGAGGCUCGCCUGGCCACCGGCAAGGCUGGGCUUGCCUCCGACAAACGACGACCAGCAGCGAACGGCGAUGAGUGGUGGUGGACGACAAUCGCGAGAUGACGGAAGGGAAGAAUGAGACUUUCACUGUUUUGAUUCUUUUUUUUAUUCUCGGACGGAGAAUCACAUUUUUUUUUUUUAUUCUCAAUUCUCUUCCCAAUCUGUUCCUAGGAAAAAAAAAUUUACCAAACGCGAUUCUCGUCCCAAACUAAUUCUAAGAACAAUCAGAAUCAGACACUGUUUGGCACGUUGCCAAAUAGGCCCUUAUGGAAGAAAUUCUAGCCCCCGAAUCAACAAUCCUGAUUCCAUAUCUUUCAUAAAAAAAAAUAUUAUUUGAAGAAUUUUUAUGAAAAAGUAUUGCUUGUAUGACUUAUAAAAAUAAAUGGACGAGUCAGUCACAUUUUUAUUGUGAUCACGAAGAUAUUUUCGAUAAAAAUUAUUAUUGAUAAUGAAAAAAAAUUCAUUAAUUAAUUAUUCCGAUCGAAACAAGUGAUUAGUUUUAGAAAUGUAUUUUUCAAAUCAUUCGUCAUUCAUGAAAUAAAAUGAGGCUAAGCAUUAUUUUGAUAAUCCAUGAGAUUAAUUGGAUACUGAAAAAUGAUAUUAAAAGUGUCAUGACUUUUGUGCGGCACUCAUUUUAGUGUCAAAACUUUUUGACCAACUACAUAUAUGUAAUGUCAGUGUGAAAUUGUUCACUUCACUAUCUAUUCUAGCUAAUCGUCCCUCAUGACUUUUCAAGUUAAUUUUUCAGAACGAUCGUGGCUUUUCAAAAGAAAAAUCUAAGUCUAAGGUGGACAAUCUUCAAUCAAAAUGACAAAGAAUGAUUCGUUUUGGCCUUUUUGUUACCCAAAUUCAUUCGAAACCGAAACCCUAAAUUCUACAAAGGGAUUCCUCUCCGGAGAAGCUUGAGCAGUGGAGAGAUUCAAGAUGAGAUGAGCAUUGAGCAGUGGAGAGGAUCGAGCUUACGAGAUGACCAAGUGGGGAUCGGUCGAAUCGGCUUCUGUGAGGUCGAGAUGAUGACGAGACAACGUGACACGAGGAAUUGCGCUUGAUUUGAAUGAAUCACAAAGAACUUGCUGGUUUUUUUUGGGACAUGAAUCGCGGUGUGCCUUUGCCGGAAUCCUGCAAAUCGCAGACAAAUCGAAGGUUACGGAGAUGGCACGUUGGGUGCAUUAGUGGAAAAUCGCCUGCCUCUUCCUAAACAUUUCUGCAUCUAAGUAUGGCUUGAACAUCUUCUACCAAAUUUUUUUGCCAAGUUCACACUGUUAUCUUGCAAAAAAUCCCUCCACCGAAUCCGCUCAGUCCUUUUCUUUUCAAUUCCAGAUUGUAGAGUGUAUUUUCCUCGUCAACUGUACACAAACUUUAAAUGACUAAGCUCCAUUGAAGAACCAUCAUCGCUCAACCAUUGGAGAGGAAGAGGGACAAACGGAGCAACAUAUCUCUUCCCCUUUUCUUCUUCUUCUUCUUCUUCUUCUUCUUUUUUUUUUUUUGGUUUUUAUUUAUAGUUUUACCGAUAAGGCCAAAAUAACUUCGUUUUUUCUUCAUGAUUUUUGCUGAUUGGAUUUUCUUUGGCAAGCCACGUCAAUUGAUUUACGAUAAAUUAACGUCAUGUCAGAUUUUCGAAUCAUACAAAUCACCGAUGACAAUGAAGUGAUUUUUUUUUUCCGAAAGUAACACUCAAGUGAUCUCUUGAAAAAUUUUGUCAUUAGAAGUUGUAUGAAAAUUAUGAUACUUGAAUACUAGUUAAAAGAAGUGUAUAUCGGUCUAAUCCAAUCCAAGAAUCAGAUUGGAUUGGGUCAAAUCGGUUAAUUCUGGGUGGUUUCCACGAGAAUCGGUCUAAUUCCUAGUUCUAAAAAUGUGGAAUUGGGAAUAACCAAUCCAAUUUUGGAAUCGGGAACUAAACUAGUGUUCGGUCUCUUAUGUGAAACUAGACCGAACCAAAACGUCAAAACCAGCUAGAGGUAACCCUAAAUUAAAAUUAGAGCUCUUUCUCUCUCUUUUAGACCAAAGCCUCUCACCGCUCCCAGCUGCUCACCUCUCUUUCGUGCAACCACCACCAUGGUCUCGAGCAACCACCAUCACAGCGAAGCUCCUCGUGUGGAAACCAAGGGUGAGAAAGAUGAAAGAGGUUCGUCAACGGAGAAACCCUUGGAUGCUUGAUGCGACGAGAGAGAGUAGAGGGAAAGUAUAAAGAGAGAGAUGCGGCUGUUUUAAUAAUAAAAGGAAAAGGGACAUCCAUAAAAAUAUUUCCCUAGUAGCUUGUCAAUUCCCUCUGUGCACACUUUCUUAGGUAAAUGUUGCUUUGGUCCCACGAGGACUCAAAAAAAAAAGUAGUAAGGCACCUGUCUUUUCAAUUUUUUUGUCUAAAUUAAUAAUUUGUUUAAAAAGAGUAAAGCAAAUAUAGUUGUAUUUUACUCAGUUCAUUUCUUGAGUAAAAUCAAGAAUUAAACCAAAUCGAAACCGAAAACCUUUUCUCAAUUCCAGAACCACUUGGUCCGGUUCCUAAUUCCAAUCUUCAGAAUUGGUAGGCACAAGAUUGAUUCUCGGUUCUAGGCCAUGGAUUGAUCAAUUGAGAACCAAUCACCCAUAUUGAUUAAAAACUCAUAAUAAUUAAAAAUUUGCACCGUUGUGUUUUCAUAAUGAGUUGGAAGCUACUUAUCCUUCGUGGAAAGUGGUCAAAAACUAAUGAAUUUUGCAAUUCUAAUGUCAUGUGAGAAGAAGAAAUUUUAAGAGAAAUUAACAAUGAAUGAUACCUAAUUUGCUUCAGAACCUAAGCCAGCCACUAGGAGAUUUACUAUGAAUCCACAUGGUACAGAUUUAUCAAUCUUUCGAUUGGUCAAGUGUUUCCCAAGCACUAACCUCUUACACAGAAUUCACUUAAAAAAAUUUCAGAAAAACUCUUAAAACUUUUUUUGUUUGCUCUAGAGUGUUAACCAAUUUGAUUCCACCUACUGUAUAUACCUGAUGCCUGUAUCCAAAAUAAAAAACUUUUAGGAAACUUGUUGAAACUACUCAAAUUAGGAAACCUACAUAAACUAAGAAACCUAUUUAGAUUGGACUCAAAUUUAAGUCAUAUUCUUAACAUAAGCUUACUAAUCACGUGACAAGUUAAUCAGCAACAUGUUGAUAUUUGACGAGGACAUGGCGCUACUCACAAGGAAAUUCAAGAGCAUCAUGAGAAAAGGGGAAGGAGCUUCAAAGGCAAGAGACUAAUGGGAUCCUCUGAAGAUAAUGAAGUUCUCCAAAUAUAAAAUGAGAAUAAAUGUCAGGAUGCAGUUGGCUAUGAAUGCAGGAAACCUGAUCAUGUCAAACCAGAAGUUCACUAGACCAAAAGGAAGAAUAGCAAGUUUGAAAAGAAGAAAAGAGUGCUGAAAGCAAAAGCGUGGAGAUAAGGUCGAGAAUCAUAUAGCUCAUCCCAUUAGGAAGAGAGUUUUCAAUUUUGAGAAACAUCUAGGGCUUUGCGUUAAAAAUUUAGAGGCCCAAGAAGGAAAUAUUACCAUGACCCUCCGACGGAAUUGCAUCAAACGAGCAUAUCUCGACUCUUGAGACGUCUUUUCACUUUUGCUAUUGUGUUUUUUUUUUUUUUUUGGGGUCCAUUAGUAUAAGUUACUUGUGCAAUAAAUACGUUGUAGUCACUUAUGGAAUAUUAUUGGAUAUCAAUCACAUGUGUAGUGAUGGUGAAAGCGUUGCUAAUUAAAGGUAAAUAUACUUUUGGUAUCUGUUAAAACUUAGUUGGAUAUAUCAUCCAUGCCAGUGCCGCCAUGUUGCUUAGGAUAACUAGCGUUGACUGCACUAUCACAUUAGCAAUCUCUAGCUAAAGUUAGCUUAUAUGACUAAAUUAAUAAAACGUCAAAAUAUUUAUGAUUAAUUUGGCAAAAUGAUAGAAAUGUUUCUGACUAAAUUGGUGCAACUGCAACGGAAUUUGAACUAAAUUGAACAAAUUAAAAUGUUCAAAAUUGAAUUAGCACGGGUAUAAUAAAUUUAGGACUUUUUUGGUAAUUUCCCUUAGGAAUUGGUGACUUUAUGUACUUGAAGAGUUAAUAUACUGCUUUUCAUUCAAGGUUCGUUCAAAUGUAAUUAGGAAUUGAUCUUAGAUUUCUUUUGUUGUAGUACAAGAAGAAAUUAUAUUAAAUAUAGAUGGAGACAUACAUAUUAUAUGAGAUGAAUAGUUUUAGCAUUUAGUGCAAGUUUAAUUUCGUCACGAUUAGCAGCAAGUGGAGCUAGUGGAUGUUCUUCUCUAGCUGGUGGAAUAGGAGGUCCUGCUGGUGGAGGAAUUACCAAUCCAUUCUCAAUUACGUCCCACAUAGGAAUCUCUGUAGCUGGAAGAAACACUUAAAUUUUUUGUUUCCAGUAGUUGUCGUCUGUAUCAUCAAAGUAAGCUAGCUUACUGGGAGCUUGUCCAUGAGGAGCACCAAAACCAAUAAUGAUGUUAAACAUAGAUAAGAUUUUACUUCAAAUAACAAACAAAAAAGAUCUGAUACCAAUUGUUGAGGCUAGCAAUACAACUUAGAGAGAGUGAAUAGGUCUAUUAAAAACUUAAACAAUUUUUCUCACGGAGGAUAACAUGAUGUACUUUGACAGUAGCAAGAAUAGAUUAACAACUAUAAGUAAGCUGAUACUUCUAUCAGGCGGUUAAAGCAAUAAUGAAUAGAUAGAAAGUAGCACACAACAAUAUAUAGUGUUUCGGCUUAUCCUCAAGUCUACGUUCAAGGAAGCCAAUUAGUAGAGAUACUAAAGUGUAAAUAAUGCGCCCUUGAGAGUGAGUUCCACAUUUCUUUUCCCUAAUUUUAAUUCAUAUGUCGCGUAAAAUGUACUCAAAAUUUGAAUACAGUGAGGAGAUCAGCAUCUUUCCUGGUCUGAUCUUUACAGUACUCGUAUUGCUUUUGUUCAAGAAGUUUGAACGUAUUGACCUUUUGGUACUCUUGGGGCUUCGAUAAGCAAGAAGUCAUCACCUUUACAAUGACCAGUAUCAAUGUGGUGCUUCUUCAAGAAAUUAAAGUCAAAAGGCAUUAGGUUGCUCGUCCUCAUGCAGGGGGUAGCUUCGAUAGAUGAUCCCAGUUCUUUAAGUAGAUUUGUGAAACUAGGUGCAUUGUAUUGUGAAACCGACACUUGCGUGCCUAAAUGAUUACUUCACCAGAAGCUGUUUUUCGAACUGCAGAUUUCCGCGCAAUGCUAAUCCCCUAUGUGCUGUUUUUUUUUUUUUUUUUUGGUAAGAAUCCCCUAUGUGCUGUUUCGACCAAAAGAAAACAAAAAUCUCCUAUGUGCUGCUACAUAGUGUACCGUUCCCGUGAUCACAAACUGCUGCAAAAUUUUCCAACAUCACACAUUGCAAGAGCAUAAUAUUAUUCUCAAAGUCCACGACAAACUAAAUCUGAUGCAGCAUCAUCUGGACUAGAGCUGUCAUCUGAAAUUACAGAAAUGUUAUAACGUUCAAAUCCCCCAGCAUUAGGAAUCGGAGGAACCUAUGUCAUGGAAGAAUAACUGUCAUUCACGGAAAUUUACGGGGUACACAACGUUUAUUGUGACACCAUGGAAAGUCCCGUUCAGAGAGACUGUAAACUGUGAACAGCCGUCAGGCAUUACCAUCAUGUAGUAAAAGAUGUAAUGCAUGCACGAACAGCAGCCAGUAUUCAAGCUUUGCUAAAUAAAAGCAGGAGUCUAGGAGGAACGUUGCCUGCACAUUGCAGAAGGCACAAAAACACAAUAACUCCGCUCCCUCCAACUAAUAAAAUAUCUGAGUAGGAUUUGUCAGGAACAAUCCACGGGUUAAGUGGUCUUCAAGAGUGGACAUAUUAUCAGUUAUCCUACCUCGUUUUUUCUUCUUAAUUUGGAUCAGUUUAUCAUAUACACACCAAGGAAAGCUAAGAUAAUGAUCUCGAUUCAGACCCUCGUUAUAGCAACCCCAAUAACUCGGGUGAUAUGUGACAUGAUACCAAGCAGAUGCUUUUGCAUAUUCAUCGACGGCCUCAGAAUCUGAACCACUUCCCUUAUCAUUAAACCAGUUCCGAGCUUCCUUUCUCAGGGAUUUUACAGCCCUGGUAAUGCUGUCAGAGUCCCUCUUCUUGGUGAAAGAUUUGGACAUUUUCAUUAUGCAGCCACUAAGUAUUUCGGCCUCUGUGUUAAUCCCAUAGUACUCCAUCAUAUUACCCAGCUUGUAAUCAUAAUUACCCUUGUGAUAGAAAGCGUCAUCAACAUAUUCCUCAAAUCCGUCCACCUCCAUCUCUGGGUCAUAAGAUUGCCUCGCCAUUUCCAGCGUGAACUUCCGAAUAGAGCUCGAUGCAUAUGCUAGCUCUUUGACUUCCCGGAAAAGCUUUCCGAUCACGUUAUUGGAUGGGUAGCUGGACUUGUCAAGCUUCUCCAUGAAGUCUGGGUAUUCUUUGGCAUACAGAUUAGGAGGUAUCACAGCAGGUACACCAGUUUUCGGAAAGUCGACAGCAAUAGAGAAAAGUCUGGCAAGCUCUAAACAUUCAGGGCUCAUGGCCUUUCCAGGCUUACUAUCUGCAAACGCGGUGUGGGAGUCGGCAAUAAUUCCAAGGCUGUCAUUAAGCAUGAAUUUUACAAAAUACUCUUCCACUUCCUGUUUAAGCAACAACACCACCACAAAAAGAGUUGAAUUAACCCCUACAUCCACGAAGCAUUACUAGAGAAAUCAAGGGGUGAAUUUCAAACUGGAUGCAACUCAUUCAUCUCCCGCAUAAUCGAUUAUCAAUCACCAUACAAAAUAAAGGUAGACAGGCAAACUUAUCGAUCUCCCACAUAUUUGAUCAUCGAUUACCUUAUGAAAACAAAGGUACGCUGGGAUAUACUCUUCUCGUAAGUAAUUCAAGGUACAUGUUGACCAUUUCCUGUUCCAGCAUUCCCAAUGUUUCCCAAUAAUCCGUUCAUUUCAUCAUCAUGAAAAGGAAAUGUUCCGCAUAGCAAAAGAACAAUGUAUACACCCAUCUUAGUAAAAGCGAAUAUGCAUGGGAAAGUAUAGCCUAAUAAUCAUUACACUUGAACGAAAAAAAAAAAAAGGAAAUUCUCAACAGCAGUGUAGAGCAGGUCCCAAAUCCAACGUCAAGAAGGUACAAUCAAGUAUCGAGGCCAAGUUCUAGGAAUAAUUACCAAUUAAAUCCUAAACCUAAUGUAUGGAUUUUGAUUCAAUUUUAAAUUUUUCAACUUUGUCGAUGUAGUUCUAAACAUUUGUGCAAAAUCACACUUUUAUUCCUUAUGGCCAAUUGCCGCCCAAAAUAGCUGAUGUCACGAUUCACAAAUUGUCCACGUUAGCAUGUUAUAUAGGAAAACCGGUGAUGAUUGGACUCCACCUUAGCAAUUUCUAGCAACAAUUGGCCAAAGGAACUAUAUUGAAAUUUUGUGCAAAGGUUUGGGACUACAUUGGCAAAAUAUAAUAGAUUUAGAACUGAUGGGUAAUUAUCCCGAAAUUUUACUUGUAGAUUUGCACUGGAACAAAAUCUUAUUAUAAAGAUUUAAAGAUUCUUUUCCAUACAAACCCAUACAUCACCAUCGUAAAUGAUAACCUCCAAACAAACCCAAAUUAAGUGAAGCCACAGUUAAAACAAGCAAAUAGCCAACACCAAAGUAUGAGCCCCAGCCCUUUUCCCCCAAAAGCAAGGAUGAGUUAUCAUGAUGAAUCUCUGUUCUCUGGAAGAGUUUCUUCGCAAUAAGGAAAUUGAAUGGACCGAUGUACGGUACCUCCAAUUUUAGAUGAUCGAUAUUUCCGUUGUUGCCUAGCCAUCUAGAUAACACCACAGCAUCUAAAGCUUCAUUAUUUACCAUAAUCGCUUUUUGUUUCCCUACAAAUGUUUAUCACUUUGUUUAAAGUGGCGUCUGAAGUUGUGACAGAAAAUUUGGCGUAUAGCUUUUAGGACAGAAGAUGUAUGGUUUGGCUUUAUGAAUCCUAUCAACGUAAUGGUUGAAUCAAUGAGCCCAGUUAUACUCAACUGUAUGAUUAGUAAGUAAUCUUUUAAGCUAUCAUCUGCUUGCCAAAGGUGCAAACUUAGGGGUUCUUCCAACCCAGGGUAGGAAGAAAGAGAAGCACACAGAUUUAGAAGCAGAAGGAACCGGCGAGAAAACAAAAGAACAUAGCAGGGUUGACAUGACAUGAUGCUCACACGCCUAAUUCCUCCGCGAGGAUGAAAUGCAAUCCAAGCAUCAUGUUGGACAAGCCAAGUCGAAUGAAAAGAAAGACAAUGUGAAGAUAAUGGAUGCUAGAUGUAUUUCCUACUAUAACUGUAAUCUGUUAUAUAAGUUUCAUGGUACCAGAAAAAAAGUUAUUACAGGGUAUAGAAUUCCCUGAAAAUGCUCAGGAAAAGCAUUACCUCAAUAGUGACAUCGUGAUCCAACUGUUCAAUCGGGGCAGGUGUGUAAUCCAUAGGUUCGCUCUGGAGAGGUGGAACUAAUUCUGAGUCCCAGGAGACGAAGUAACCAUCUCCAUCCAAAUCACCCCCUGAACACUCACUGGGAUGCGGCCUAUUUUGUGCAAAAAGUGUAAGAUGCAUUAAGAGAGUAUGCAUUAAGAAAGAGAAAUUGUCUGAGAUGAGAAUCAAAAUAAGUGCAGAUCAAUAUCAUGUUUUGCUUUCUACUUUUAUCAACUAACAGUGUGUUAGGGAGGAUUAAAAGUAGAAAAGUUAACCCAAAUUAUGGGGAAGGAAUUUCUUGCCUCUAGUUUUAUAGCUAGUAGAAUUAAGGGGGAAAACUAAAGGGAUUUAUCCAGAACCAGAACUAUCAGAAGCAUAGACAACAUAGAGGAUGCUUCUUAGCAAGGUUGGACACAAAAUUUACUCAUCAGCCUCGGAUCACUGAACUCAAACCACAUUCAAGAAAGAGACACCAGGAGAAAGAUUAACAAGAGUUCAAAUCUAGCCAUCAAGUCCCACUGGAUAAACAUUUGAGUAUUUAUUCUCAAAUCUCAGAGGUGAUAGAAAAGAAGGCCCAAAACUAUUCCUAAAGAACUGUCAAAAUCAUCCUUGGCUAUGGAAAAUGAGGAAAAGAUUAAAUUGGGUUACACAUCCGACCAUAUAUUUCAGACCUAAUACAAACAUAAUAUCAGAAAUUUUAGACCUUAUUACUAUGAUCGAACCCAAAUCAAAACAAUAGUCAAAGAUCCACAACCAAAAGCAAAAACAAGCCCAGGAUAGAUCCUUGACAAGUGCCAGUGCAACUACGGUCAUUGUAAGCCAAUAACAAGGCAUGUUCGAGUCAUACCUUUUUCCUUUUUGUGGAAAAACAACACAAUCCACCAUAUGACGUAAAGCUGGCACAUCUACGGCAGUUAGAACUCGAACAUCACCGGGAUGUAAGCAAGGAUUCCUCGCAACAACUACAUUUCCCUGUACAACAGUUUGAUCUGAGUCAGAACUUCUGAACAUGAUUGACUCAUCCCACAUCUGUUUUUUCCUUCUACCAGAAUACUGCACAAACACCUGACCAUAUUGUAAAGUUCGGGUCUCAUCAAGGCAUCCCAUCAUGUAUCUUCCUUCAGGAAGAAAUAUCUUUGUUUUUAUCCGUAAAAGAAACAAUUUUGCAGCUCUGAAUGUUCGCAGCAUCAUCGAUAGAAAUGGCUCAGCAUCAGGCUCAUAACCACACUUUAGCAUUUCUUUGAGAAUGUUACCAUUCUCGCCAGGGGACAUUAAAUCUAGAGCCUCUUGUGCUCGUAAGGGAUCAACUAAAAUAGCAUUUAGCUGAUCUACAGCAUUUCUUUGUUUUUUCUCAAACACGUGAUCUGGAACGCCAAGCGUUGAGAGAAGAGUGAUUAACUGGCGAUUCAGAAAGAGAGGCUGAUAUUUGCUCCACGCCAAGACAUUUAGCUUUGUCUCAUUCGAUUCAUACUUGGACAUGCUCUCUCUGAGUGACAGUUUAACAGAGGAUGUCGGAUCAACAGCUACAACACCUUUGUAUCCGCCAUAGCGAAUUUGAAAUGCUGAAGGAGUAUAGCCGUUGAAGCCACAUUUUCUUGCAACUUUCCGAGCGAAAUUUUCAGAUAUUUUCCCGAUUCCGUCAGAGAAGUUAUAAUAUUUAUCCUCAACAUGUGAUUUGACUUUAACAUCCGGAAUGACUUCAACUUCAUGUCUAUCUACAUUGAGAGUUUCAGUAGAUGAACUAAAGGAUUGGCCGAGUCUUGCGGCAUAUCUUGCGACAUUUCUUAUUUUUCUGAAUUCACCCAUCUUUGCCCUGAUAGUUGCAGCAGUUGUACCAUUUGUUGGAGCAAACAUCCAAGCAGAAUUUUCGCGUAACUGACUGGAUGAGAAGGCAAGAAAUUCAAACUCCUUAUCACCUAUUCUUAUGCCAUUCUUGAGUAUAGAAAGGAUCCUUUCAUAUAUAUCCGUCCUUCCAUGUCUCGAACCAGUGUGAGGAGAUAAAUCAGUUGAAUGCAUUUUUUCCAAGUUCUCAUCCACAAAAGAAAUGCGGAUAAAAUUGUCAAUGUACUGAGAAUAUCUCCGCAAUACAUGAUUUGAGACAUUAAUUUCUGGACCAAAAAAAUACACCCUGCACGGUGUUAUUUGCACCCUAUGUACAUAAACCAAGCCAGCAUCUAACGUUAUUGAAGACAGUUUCGUAGAAUGCCGGGAGGUGAGAUAUUUCUUGUACUGCUUAAUCAGCCACUUUGAGGGUUCAUAACAACAUUCUUUCAUAUGGAACAGUUUGUCUAAGGCAUCUAGGAUCAUGUCCAUGUCUAUCCUCCGUGUAUCAACCAUUCGAUAAAAUAAAGAAU
rnacentral:lncRNA from 1 species